rnacentral:lncRNA from 1 species
UUUUUUUUUUUUUUUUUUUAAGUUGCUACAUGUGCAUUAUGUUUUAGAAAAGCAUAGUGGAACAUUUAUGGAACAAAAACAUAAGUGAUAAAGUAUGAUGUAUCCAUGAUACACAUGCUAAGCCAUACUGUGUUGCCAAUUUUCAAAGAAUAAGCCUGGUUUAUUUUUUUGGUAUUGUCAAUAUUAUGUCCGGAAUUAACUUCAAUAGUACAAGAAGACAGGUAACAUAGUAUUGUAAUUUUUUGGGGAUCAAAACCAUGAGCCUUAAGAUCUCCCAUGACCUAUUAAAUGAUGAAACAAUAACAGCAUGCAUAUCUGAAAUUCAAGGAUUUCAUACCUGCUUCUUGGGUCCCAUUGAGAUAUGAAACAUGGAGGAGAGAAAGUUGAUUGAAGGUUUCUUCCCCUGCUGUCCCCCCUACCAGUCUACCCUAUGAUGGCCUUCCAUCCAGUGGGAGGGAGAUGAGAGAAGAGUGCUGGCGAGAAUGGGGAAUGGUGGUGCAAAAUGAGAGAGAGAAUGCAUAAUCUCUAAAUAGUUGUCCCUCACUAACUGAAUAAGUUGAUCAAAUUAUGUUCUAUCAUAGGACCUCAUUAGUCCCAAAAAAAUGAUCCAAUGGCCCUCUCUCCCUCUCUGUCUUCCUCCCUGUGUAAUUUCAUUGGAUGUUCCCAAGAGUGAGACCUUUCAGCAUGGUAUAAGUUAGAUUUGGGUACCACCCCCUAAUGAAAUGCCAUAAUAACCCUUAAUAAAGUACAUUAUUAACUACAAUUCUCCAUCUUUGUCGUCACUCAUAAAAUUUGAGAUUACUACUGAGUGGUCCAGAUUUAAGCACUCUCACUAAUACAGCCAUCGGAUAUAAUGAAUUCCACAAUUAUGAAUUAAAAUCAGAAAGAAUUUGAUAAAGAACUAUCUAUAAGGCCACGAAAUAGUCCUAUCUAGUAUUUAUCUUUCGCUAUAACUCAUUUGGGUUAUGAGGCAGUAUUUAUUAGACUCAUGUUGAGUGUGGGUGACUUUGUUUUGAUUGAAGAUGACUUCACUAAGACCUUGCCUUGUGUUAUUGUUUUACCCUCAAUUUGUAGUUGACAUCUCUGUCUUUUGUUAGGAUAUGGGGAUUUUGUUUUGAAUGUAUGUCUUAUUUGUGGAUUUGUCACCUAAGGUGAGCAUUGCUUUAAGGUGAUAUGGUGAGCAUUUUCUCAGUUAAAUUAAUUAGUUGCAUGGAUGACUCUUUUUCUCUUUCGGUUAUUCCUUCCUACUAAUAGUGUCAAAAUCCUCAAUAAUCUAGGAAUUGGAAGUACAAUAGCUUGAAAAGAAUCUUGCCUCCUAGAGGAGUACUUAUUUGGGUGGAAGGUAUGCACGUGUAAUAUCCACUCUCUAAUUUUCCUAUCUAUAUAUCUUUUCUCCACGACUAAUAGUCUAACGCUUGGGAGAGAACUGAUUUAGGAGCAAGCUUUGCAAUUAAAAUUCCACUAUUUCUUGUUUUCUUUUUAUCACAUUUCCUUCCGGAUGCAUUUAGUGAAUGUUUGUGGAGUUGAGAAAUCACAAAGAAAUUUUCUUUUGACAGAUGUUGAUGGGUGUUUGUAGAUCUUGCUGUCUCCAUACUCAUACAUGGGUUUAUGUUUAAGGGUAGGGAUGCAGGAAAUUGAAAAUUUGCUCAUUAAGGAAGAUGAAAGCAACAGUUUAGGACAUGAAGUCAGGUUGACAGCUGGUCAUAAAAAUCUGUCGAUAACUAUGAUAUGCAUCCAGAUUUGUUAUGCGUGAGCAUUGGAGUAUUCCCUAUAAAUAACAUCAGAAGUGGCUGUAAAUAGAAAUAUUGGGUAAAUGAGGAUCUUUGGUGCUGACUCCAAAUAGUUGAGAAAAGGCUUGAUACGUGAAGAUCAAUCCAGGAGCAUGGGUACUCCAAAACACUAGUUGUUUGUAUCAAUACAUGUUGACAUUGAUGCUGGGUACCAACUAGAUGCAUCUCCAGCACAGAAAUCUGUCAUGAUUUUUUAUAAUUAAAAUGUGGUCAAGAUACUUGUGAAAUGCAUCCCAAUUUUCCUGGGAUGCUUCUAGUGUUCUUUAAAUCUGCUAGCUCUUUACUGAGCUCAGGUAAAGCGGGUUUAUAACCCAGAUUUGUAUCCAAUAACUUAAGCUAAAUUAAGCUGGUCUCCAUCCUUUCCCGUGCAAUAAUCUCUUAUCUAUGUGAAGAAGAGGGAAGAGAGGAAGAGAAGAGUGAGAGGGAAAGGGUGUCUGUGGUAGGAAACUGGCAGCAAGAAACAGGCAUUACAGCAGCAUAGCUGGUGUACAUUGGGCAAUGUUCUUUUCCUUGGUUCUUGAUUCUUCCUACAAAACCUUUUGUUUUCCCCUCAUUCUUCUUUGUCAUGAAUGGAAAUCAUUUUUUCUUUUGGAUUCUCGAAUUUCUUCCCUUUCCUGCACUUCCUACUUUUCAUGAUGGUUGGGUUUCUUGGUAAGGUUGGAGGAUUGAGGGACCUAAUGUUCACUCUUAACUCUUUAUCUCAACAUCUGUUGCGAUUUAUUUUUAAUUAUGUGGCUGCUUUUUUUCCUGGGAUAAUAGAAUGUUUGCUGCAUUUAUUUGUAUUAAUGUACAUAUGUUUCAUUAAUUUAUUUUAUGAGGCUGUGCUUAUUAUUUGUUAUGUUGCUGAUUAUUUUUCUGGAAUAAAACGAACCUUGAUUCAUAUAUUGUUACUGUUUUUUACAGAUCUGCUGCAUAUAUUGUUAUCAUAAUAGACAAAAUAUACUUUUUGUGGAAGAAAAUGUUGUUAUCAUGGGACAUAAUGUUGCAUUUUCAUGCUUUCAGUAAAAUAUCUUUGUGAGGUGGAAAAUCUCUUGAAUGACAGAUUUUUUGCCAAAGUUAGACUAAAGAAUUUUCUUGUGAGCAUUCAGCUUGGGCAAACCCCUAAAAUUCUCUGUCAUGAUUUAGGGUUGCUUGCUAACAAUGAAGUGUGAACAUCAUGUCUGGUUCAUAGGAAAUUUAAUGAUAAGAACAAACAUUAUAGAAUGUGGACAGCAGCUACACAUCAAUCAUCCUAACAACCUUAUAGAAGUUUAAUCCUUUGUUAUAUGGAGGAUGUGCAAGUUUGUGCACUGAGAUCUUCAAGUGGUCUUGGAUCAUCUGCAAGAUUUACCCAAAAAUAAAGAUGUUAUCAAGAAAUCUGAUUUUGUAAAAAUUGUGAUCUUUGAAAUAUGUGGAUUCCUUUACAAAAUACUUGUGAAAUUUCUACAAGUCUACUUUCCUAAAUAGGUUAAGAAAAGACCAUUGGAUAGGGAGCACAAUCCUUAUGAUUCUCCUUCCUAUUUUUUAGUUUUCGCUAUCAACAAUGAAAUGAUUCUUUGGGGUCUUAUGCUAAAUUAGUGGAUACAUUGAGGAACUUAAAAAUAUGAAGAAACCUUAGCAAAGUUGGAGAGAAUUAUCACUAAGGUUUUAAGUGCCAGUCUUUCAAGUGUCAGGCUAGUAUUGGCGGAGGGUCAGUAUAGCACCUACCAAUAUUCUUUAAUUGAAAAAGCUGUUUAACUUCCUAGACUUUUUGAAUAUUUCUUUUAGCAAGGCUCGGCACCAAAUAUCAUGUGUUGUGUUGGCUGGUGACAGACACUUCCGCCAAUAUCGGUACUUGAAACUCUUUAUGAGAGUAGAGGAACAAUCCUUAAAUUCUUUUGUCCAAGUUUUUAGUGUCGGUCGCAACCAAUGAUGUGGUUCUUGUUGAUUCUUAUGAGAAAAUUUUGGGUACAUUUCUUGGAGGUUAGAGAUUGGGGAAAAAAAUUUAGUGCAUGCUUGGUAUUGCUUAAAAAAAGUGCUUUUUCAAUUUACAAGUAGAAAAGUACUUCAAAGAAAUUAAGUGUUUGGUAAUAUCGUUUGGGAAGUGCUUCUCCAAGAAGUAGAAGCCAAAAGAGCACUUCUAAAAGAAGCUAGAAAAAAUUAGCUUAUAGUUUGUUAGAUUUCUUCUUGCCCUCUAAAUAUAGUAAACCUGUUGAUAAAGUAAUUCUACGGUAUGUAAGUACCAAACAACAAAUAUUUCAGUACUUUCUAUUUGAGAACUUAAAUGAAUGUGAUUCUGUAAAAUGACUUCUUAAAAGUGUAAAGCAAUGCCAACCAUGCCUCUAGCAAGGUGGAAGAAAGCUAUAUCCUUAUUUUCUUAACAAGGAACCUUGCAAGGUUGAAGAAUACUAUUAUCCUCAUUGAUAUACUCAAGGGUUAGUUCAGUAGAAUCAAUUUUAGGGAACCUUUUAUGAUUCAAAACUAAUGGAUUUUAACUUCAGCCAACAAAUAUCUCCAAAUCUGAUGAUAGAGAUAAGAUGAAGUGUGAAUCUUAUGUAACCACUCAAGCGAUUUGCAGGAACAGAUCAAAGUUAGAGAUAUUAAAUAAAAAUAAAGCUUAAAGUUCUGUUAAAAAAAAAAUUCCCAACAUUACCUAGAAAUUUCAAGCAAAGAGGAUAUCAAAGCACCAAAACCUAGUAUUUUUAGGUUAAUAUUGGAUUAGGCUCCCAAGUAGGAUUUUAGGGCCUGUCUGGUGACAAAGAGGCUCUCACAAAAUAGGAACAAAGAUGAAAGAUAUGGUGAUUUAGUGGAUAUGAGGAUUUUGCUGUUAGCGAAGGUGCAUAUGUGCACCUCCAUGGCUUAUGGUGAAAGAACCAAGCUGAGGAAAGCUUGGUCUAUGCAACAUGGUGAUGCAAUAAGGAGAAGAGGAAGAAGCCAGCAAUGGUAGUAGCCAACAAAUCGCUGUCAAAACUCCAAUUUCUUUGAUGCAACCACCUCUUAAAUGGCCUACUAAGGUUCCUAGUCAGGCAUGGAAACUUCAAAUCACAUGCCAUAUUCAUAUCAAAUACAUGUUAGAUGCUGAUACCUUGUGGAUACUUCUCGGAUAUACUUGUGUAAAAUAUACUGUUUUUCAAAGUUCAAAAAAAAAAAAAGAAAACAACGUAAGUUACUUCUCAGAACACUCUAAUACUUCCCUGAUAUUUCCAAAUGAGGGGGAGGGCAUUCUUUUUUUGAUAUUAACCUUUUAAUGAUGAAUAGCCAGUUUUGUAGCUUAUAAUAUUAAUAGGUAAAGGAUGCAUUGUCAAUUUUUUAAUUUAUAGCAUUAAUAUGAAAAUGUGAAAUAUUGGUUAGGGUUGUUGAAUGAUCACGACAUGAUGAACUUGGAAAAGCUGGUACUGUCAUGUGAAGGAUUGGAUUAUUUUGAUAGCCUACUAUACUUUAUGGAUGCUUUUUUUUACAUGCAUGUCUUUAUAUACUUGUGUAUAUUUGUAUGCAUAUAUGAAUGUGUUAGUCAUACAUUACACACAUGCACGCUCAUGGAUGUAUCCUAUCUUACGUGUAUCCAACAUCUGUGUCCGUGCUUCAUAAUUCAUAAGGGAAAUGUGGGAGGCGUGAUACUAAAGAUAGCUUGAGAAAAUGUUGGUUAAAGGGUGUUCAUACUCUAUUUGUGCCAAUUCUUGGCAAACCCAUGUUAUUUUUGUUUCUUUAAGAAGCUUCACUCUCGUUAUUAGUUUCUUGACCUUCAUGUUACUAUUGGGAUUUCUGGAUUGCGCUCGGUUUUUACAUUACCUUUUGAUUUCUCUGCCUUCUUGACAAGUGUUGUGUCUUUUUCCUGAUCAACUGAAGCGGAAAGUUCUAGUUUAGAAGCAAAUAAUUCCUUGAUUGUAAAUUUUAUCAUCAGCUAUGCUGUCUUCCUCACUGGCCUUAUCUUGGCUAGUGGUUGCUUGUGUUUCUGUAUGCUUUAUUGCAUUUGAUGGCUCAGGCAUUACCCCCCCCUCUCUCUCUCUCUCUCAUGUUUUCUAAGCUUGACAAUUGGAGUGCAAUUUAGAUUUCGUGAUAAUGUAAUUGUUAGUGCAUCAUGUAACUGAUUGUAUUGAAGGAUCCAAUAAUAAUGGGUUGUUGUUGCCUAUUAUCUAACUGUGUGUCCUUGCUUGCAUCGGCAAUCUUCCAUGUUGGCCAUGCAAAUGUUGUGUAGGUAGAUUCUUCCUGCUUCUUUUGUUGAUGCUUACUGAACUAUCUAUCUUUCUGCUUCUUUUGAUGAUGUUUACUGAACUAUCUACUGGCCACAAUAUAUAUAUAGACAUAUAUAUACACAUGUAUGUACAUAUAUAGAGACACACAUGUAUGUAUGUGAAUAUAGACACACACAUGUAUGUAUGUGAAUAUAGACAUAUAUAUACAUGUAUGUAUGUGCAUAUAUACACAUAUAUACAUGUAUGUAUGUGCAUAUAUACAAAUAUAUACAUAUAUGUAUGUGCAUAUAUGUGUAUAUAUAUAUAUGUACACACACACACAUACAUAUACAUAUAUAUAUAUACAUAUAUAUAUAUAUAUAUAUAUAUACACACACACACACACUAUACAUAUACAUAUACAUAUAUAUAUGUUACUACAUACAUACAUAUAAUAUAUAUNNNNNNNNNNNNNNNNNNNNNNNNNNNNNNNNNNNNNNNNNNNNNNNNNNNNNNNNNNNNNNNNNNNNNNNNNNNNNNNNNNNNNNNNNNNNNNNNNNNNNNNNNNNNNNNNNNNNNNNNNNNNNNNNNNNNNNNNNNNNNNNNNNNNNNNNNNNNNNNNNNNNNNNNNNNNNNNNNNNNNNNNNNNNNNNNNNNNNNNNNNNNNNNNNNNNNNNNNNNNNNNNNNNNNNNNNNNNNNNNNNNNNNNNNNNNNNNNNNNNNNNNNNNNNNNNNNNNNNNNNNNNNNNNNNNNNNNNNNNNNNNNAUAUGUAUAUAUAUACACAUACAUACAUAUAUUUCCUUCUUAGGCAAACAUUACUUGUUCUAUGAUAUUUAGGCCUUUGACCUAUUGAUAUUGGUCUCUUUGUGGUUGAUAAGAGUUGCUUUUAAUAUGAAUGACACUUCUAAACCAUGUCCUUUGAGAAUGUAUGAGUUAUGGGUCAUUUCUUUGGCAGGUUUGGCACUGGGCCUAUUUCACCUGGCAAAACUGUCGAGGGAAAAUUGGAGGAGCAGAAAAGAAAGGCACGGGCAGAGAGGUUUCAACUUGCUUGUCAUUGUCGAAAUCAAUUGUGAUUAGUUCUCUUUCCAAAUACAUGGAUCACUAACAUGUUCAUUGCUCAUUCUCAGAUCAUUGGUAAUCUACUAGACAAGCUUUGAGGCAUCAUCUUUUGUCAUUUCUCAGGUUUGGGCUCACAGGAUACUCUCCAGCUGAUGAGGAAGCAAAGAAGAAGGCUCGAUUGGCAAGAUUUACACACAACCCCAAACCUGAUGCUUUGGAAGAAGAAAAAAGAAAGGCAAGAGCAAUCAGGUAAAUGCUUAAUCUUUGUAAUUCUGGCUUGUAUUUGCUGAGAUCCUGCUGACAUGAUGCAUAAAAUGAUUAUGGUGAUCUUUGUGAUUGUGGCUCAAGCUGGUUCCUUGCAUGAUAUUAUGCCUUUCAGGUUUCCAGUCACAUCGAAUUCUUCUCCUCAAACCAAUGGCGAGGCCAAAUCUGAAUCGGUAAUGAUUUAAUGGUAGUUCAGCUGACUGGAUGGGAGAUCAAUGAACUAAUAUCUGCUGAUGAUUCUGACAAGCUUUCUUUUCCACAUUCAAACCAGAACACAACUGUGGCUAGGACUGGAGGAAAGACAUGAGAGCUGAUAUUUCAGAGGUAAAUGAAGCUUCUGGCUGCUUUUCUGUGGUACUAACUGCCUUGAUAUCAUCAUCCUUGUGCUGACCUGCUUGUAUCGUUUGUUUUUUUUGGCAUGUAUGACGCGCUGUCUUGCAAAGAACAUGGUUUGGGUAGUGAUAUACCUAUUUUGUAGGCAAGCAUAGGUGAAUUAUGAUUCAGUAUGCAGAGGGUCUGUACAUUUAGACUGGUUAAAAUGGCUGCUACAUCUUUUCUGAAGCCGAUACUAUGAUGUCUUGAACAAACUGCAUAAUAUGCCUCCAACACGUUUGAUACUUUAUUUCCCCAUCAGUUAUGGUAAAUAUGUCUGGCAGAUUUCCGUGCUUGCUAGUUCUACCGUAUUAAUCCCUAUAAAAUUCAGCAGUAUAUUUCACCUAUACUUGCAUAAGCUUGUGGAUGGUUUCAAGGUUCUGUAUGUCUUUGUUUUUACAAAUUUCCAGCAUUUUUACUGCAUUCCUAAAUCAGUGCAGGGAACAUCCAAAUGUAAUAACUAUAUGGGUUCCUUGCAUGUCCUUCAUUAAAGACGUGUUGGUAGAUUAAACCUGUUUACAUGUUACCUGUCUCCUUUGCUAAUGGGCAAAUUACUUGGAGUGGGUUCAUAUGGUGGCCUUUUGAGGAAGAGAAAAAGGAAGAAAUUUGAAAUUGAACUGGAAAUUCUCGAACUAAAAAUACUUUUUGAGUUCAUAUUGCAGGCCUUUCUACUAGACAUUGUUAAUAGAAUGCACUCAUUAGAACGAACCGUAGCUAUACAUAUAAUAAUGCUCAUUAACUUUUUAAAUCAACUCUUUAGAAUUUUCGAACUUUGUUUUGUUCUUGUAUAGGAAGGUUAAGAAUAGGCUCGACUAGCUUAUGCUAGGAAUGUUGUUGUGAAGUAUAAUGUUCAUCGGGAUUGUGAAGAUUCGAUUCAUGGUUUGUUUUAACUACUUUUUUACAUAGAAGAAAAACAUCACCGUUUUUUUUUGGGUGGGAGGAACCUGGGUCUGCCGCGUGGGGGGUGGCUGGGACGGGCUUGUAUCUUUUCACCAGUUGUCCAUUUAACCUAGUUUUCUUAUCCACCAUACUUGCUUCGUCCAUCAACUUUGUGUCUUCAAAAGUGUUCGCUUGAAACCAGUAUAAUCCUUGCAUCAAGAAGAGGGCCGUAGGUAAUGGCUGCGCGUGUGGAUUUAAAACCACGCCUCUGAUGCAAACACCAAGAGGCAUUAUUAAAUAUAUGGCAAAAAAUAUGAAAAGUUAGCCUCAGAUUUAAAUUGCCACCGAACGGCAUGACGACGCUACGAUGAUGACGCUACGAGACUGCCACAGAGCUUUUGCAUUGGACCGCUAGCAGCGGAUUCUUCCUCGGGGAGUCACCAGCCAAAGCAGAGGAUGACGAAGAAAUUCUUCGUGCACCGCACAUGACGCACAAUGAUUGACUAAUGCAUGAGGUUAGAUAAAAAAAUAUUAUUUUUUUCAUACUUCUAUCCAACUUCGCAGUGUAAAAAAUCCAACAUAAAAUACAUCACUUUAUUCAAUUGAUCCACAUAAUCGUCAUUUUUAAAGACGCAUUUAAUACCUAUAGAUCAGUUUUUUCGUUUAAAAAUUAUAUAUGAUAAAAAUAUCUAUCCUUUGAAAAAAAUUAUGACAUCCCAUAUUAUAGUCCAAAAUAUCAUAAUAUAAUCUAAAAUAUCAUAAUAUGAAAAAGAUAUUUUUAUCUAACUACUUUUCAAUGCGCAUUUAAUGACUGUAGUUUUAUUUUUUCGUUUAAAAAUUUUAAAUAAUAAAAAUAUCGUUAUUCUUUAAAAAAAAAUUAUGAGAUCCUAUGCAUAUUAUGAUAUCUUGCAUUAUAUUAUGAUAUUCUAUGGACAAAAAUUAUGAUUUUUUUAAUAUAAGAUAUCAAAAUAUAAACAUAAGAUAUCAUAAUUUUAUUAAAAAAAUAAAAAUAUCAAAAAGACACAUUGACGUUGCAGCUUUAGGCAGAAACUAAGCAAUACGGAAGAUCCCACCGCCCCCUUUAUUUAUCAAAAUGAUGCAAACAGCAUAAAACAUCAUUUUACGUUUUAUAAUGACUACACCACCCUAUUCCAUCCAAAUUUUCACAUGGACGAAAAAAAAUAAUAAUAACAAAAUAAAAUCACCAAAUCAAAUGACGUUUUAAAAAACAUCAUUUUAUUUGACGAUUUUAUUUUUUUCCAACAAAAAAAUAAAAAAAAAUGAAAAAAAAUAAAAAUUUUAAUUUUGAUUAAAAUAAAAAUCAUCAUUUCAAACUAAUAUCCCCAUUACAAAUUAUCUUUUUAAAAAAUAUCUAAAAAAAAAUGAUGUAAAAAAAAAUAAAAAAUAUCACAAAAAAGAAUUAAAAAAAAUAAAAAUUAUAAUUUCAUAUUUUAAAAAAAUAAAAAUUUUAAUUUUAAUUCAAAUAAAAAUCGUCAUUUUAAAUUACAAUCCCCUUUUCAAAUUAAUUUUUUUAAAAAAAUAUCAUAAAAAAUGAGAAAAAAAGAAAAAUUUUAAUUUUAAAUUUUAAAAAAUAAAAAUUUUAAUUUUAAUCCAAAUAAAAAACAUUAUUUCAAUUUUUUUCCCAUUUCAAAUUAAAUUUCUUAAAAAAAUAUCCCAAAAAAAUCUUAAAAAUUUAAAAAAAUUAAAAAUACCAUAAAAAAAGAAAAAAUGAGAAAGAAAUGAUAAAAAAAUAAAAAUUUUAAUUUUAAUUCAAAUAAAAAACAUCAUUUCAAAUUACUUUCUCCAUUUCAAGUUAAUUAAUUUUGAAAUUAAUUUUUUCAAAAAAAUAUCUUAAAAGAAAUAUAUGUUAAAAAAUUAAAAAAUAAAAAGUACCAUAAAAAAAUAAAAAAUAAUAAAAAUUCUAAUUUUAAAUUUAAAAAAAAUAUAAUUUUAAAUUUUAAUUCAAAUAAAAAACAUCAUUUUAAAUUACUUUCCCCGUUUCAAAUUAAUUUUUUUAAAAAAUAUUCCAAAUAAAGAAAAAAACUACCAAAAAAAAUACCAUAAAAACAGAAAAAAAUGGUAAAAAUGAGAAAAAUUAUAAUUAUAAUUUUAAAUUAUAAAAGAAAUUAAAACUUUAAUGUGAAUUCAAAAAAAUAAAAAAAAUAAAAAAUACCAUAAAAAAUACCAUAAAAAAAGUAAAAAAUAUGAAAAAUUGAGAAAAAAAUAAAAAUUAUAAAUUAAAAUUUUAAAAAAGAUAAAAAUUUUAACUUUAAUUCAAAUAAAAAAUAUCAUUUCAAAUUACUAUCCCCAGUUCAAAUUAUUAAUAUCCCAAAAAAUACCUUAAAAAAUUAAAAAAUAAAAAUAUAAUAAAAUAAAAAAUAAAAGAAUAAAAAUUAUAAUUAUAAUUUUUUUUAAAAAAGAGAGCUCACCGCCAUCGAAAGCUCACCGUCGUGCCAUCGGAGAGGAGAAGGAACACGCAAAGAAGAGGGACACGCUGGAGAAGAGGGGGGUUUUUCGUUUUUUUUUUGGGGGGGGUCUUAAGGUUCAAAAAUGCCAUUUUCUUUAGCUNNNNNNNNNNNNNNNNNNNNNNNNNNNNNNNNNNNNNNNNNNNNNNNNNNNNNNNNNNNNNNNNNNNNNNNNNNNNNNNNNNNNNNNNNNNNNNNNNNNNNNNNNNNNNNNNNNNNNNNNNNNNNNNNNNNNNNNNNNNNNNNNNNNNNNNNNNNNNNNNNNNNNNNNNNNNNNNNNNNNNNNNNNNNNNNNNNNNNNNNNNNNNNNNNNNNNNNNNNNNNNNNNNNNNNNNNNNNNNNNNNNNNNNNNNNNNNNNNNNNNNNNNNNNNNNNNNNNNNNNNNNNNNNNNNNNNNNNNNNNNNNNNNNNNNNNNNNNNNNNNNNNNNNNNNNNNNNNNNNNNNNNNNNNNNNNNNNNNNNNNNNNNNNNNNNNNNNNNNNNNNNNNNNNNNNNNNNNNNNNNNNNNNNNNNNNNNNNNNNNNNNNNNNNNNNNNNNNNNNNNNNNNNNNNNNNNNNNNNNNNNNNNNNNNNNNNNNNNNNNNNNNNNNNNNNNNNNNNNNNNNNNNNNNNNNNNNNNNNNNNNNNNNNNNNNNNNNNNNNNNNNNNNNNNNNNNNNNNNNNNNNNNNNNNNNNNNNNNNNNNNNNNNNNNNNNNNNNNNNNNNNNNNNNNNNNNNNNNNNNNNNNNNNNNNNNNNNNNNNNNNNNNNNNNNNNNNNNNNNNNNNNNNNNNNNNNNNNNNNNNNNNNNNNNNNNNNNNNNNNNNNNNNNNNNNNNNNNNNNNNNNNNNNNNNNNNNNNNNNNNNNNNNNNNNNNNNNNNNNNNNNNNNNNNNNNNNNNNNNNNNNNNNNNNNNNNNNNNNNNNNNNNNNNNNNNNNNNNNNNNNNNNNNNNNNNNNNNNNNNNNNNNNNNNNNNNNNNNNNNNNNNNNNNNNNNNNNNNNNNNNNNNNNNNNNNNNNNNNNNNNNNNNNNNNNNNNNNNNNNNNNNNNNNNNNNNNNNNNNNNNNNNNNNNNNNNNNNNNNNNNNNNNNNNNNNNNNNNNNNNNNNNNNNNNNNNNNNNNNNNNNNNNNNNNNNNNNNNNNNNNNNNNNNNNNNNNNNNNNNNNNNNNNNNNNNNNNNNNNNNNNNNNNNNNNNNNNNNNNNNNNNNNNNNNNNNNNNNNNNNNNNNNNNNNNNNNNNNNNNNNNNNNNNNNNNNNNNNNNNNNNNNNNNNNNNNNNNNNNNNNNNNNNNNNNNNNNNNNNNNNNNNNNNNNNNNNNNNNNNNNNNNNNNNNNNNNNNNNNNNNNNNNNNNNNNNNNNNNNNNNNNNNNNNNNNNNNNNNNNNNNNNNNNNNNNNNNNNNNNNNNNNNNNNNNNNNNNNNNNNNNNNNNNNNNNNNNNNNNNNNNNNNNNNNNNNNNNNNNNNNNNNNNNNNNNNNNNNNNNNNNNNNNNNNNNNNNNNNNNNNNNNNNNNNNNNNNNNNUUUUUUCAUUUUUUUUUCGUUUUCUCUUUUUUGUUGAAAAAAAUAAAAUCGCCAAAUAAAAUGACGUUUUUUAAAACGCCAUUUGAUUUGACGAUUUUAUUUUAUUUUAUUUUUUUCUGUCCACAUGAAAACUUGGGUGGAAUAAAAUGGUGACAUGACCAUCAUAAAUGCCAUUUUGAAUGAUGUUUUAUGCUGUUUGUAUCAUUUUGAUUAAUAAGUUAAAAAUUAGAUUAUUUUGAUAAAUAAUUUUUUUUAAUUAAUUUAGUAAAGCACUCCAACUAAAAAUCGAUACAAGCACCGUAAAAUUCUGUGCGACAUCCUGGCAUGUGAUAUCAUUAGAGUACGAAAAAGGCAAAGACUACGAAUAUGGCAUACCUUGCUGAAAUGGUGCGGCACGCAUAUCACAAGGUGGGGGGUCAAACAAAAGGUUUCACUGAACCCCUCAAUAAAUCCACUUGGCAUUUUUAAUCAAUGCCCCUUCAAAAAACACAUAAUGAAGAAAAGACUUCAAAUACCUUCUAGUAUGAAAUCCAGUCCAAUUUCUGCUAUCUACUGAUUACAUAGUUCUGAUACAAGAACCGCUGUUUAUAAACAUGUCAAAGAUGCAUUAAGCUUGCCAUAUUUCAACAUAUAAUAGGAUCAGGCCUGUACUUAAGUUCAGGAAGCUGCUCAACCCUGCCACCACAAAAUUUGAUUAAUUAUGCCAACUUUCUAAAUAAAGCAUGCUAAUCAAAAUGCAUUGUUCAAAGAAGCAGAAUUCUAUUGUGCAUUUCUAGAAUUGUGACCUAUUUACCUACCAAAAAAUGGAUGGCUGAUGUGCAAAAGCCCAUCUAUAUGGACCAAAGACAACAAAUUGUCAAAUUACAAUAUGUCUUCUGACACACUUCACAAGGUUCUGGCACUGAAAAAUUGGUUGACAGCUAGUAGCUAAUUGUGGCACUCUUAAAUUCUUCUCCUGUACUUUAUAUUUGUUAGUAUUUGCAGGUAGCCUACUAAGUUCCCUUGGAUUUGGGGUCGUCUAGAAGCAAAGAGAAUGCAUCACACAUUUGGAUCAUUUCAAACUUCAUGAUUUCAUAGAUGCAACUAUGCUGGCAAUAUUUCUUUUGUAGGUACACAAAGGGAAUACACCCAUUUAUUCUCAAAUACAAAGUACCUUAUCCAGAUAUCAGCAACCAAACAAAACCAAGACAAUCCAUUUAAGAACAAUAGCAUAUUCUAAAGCUAGAAAAACUAUGUAUCCAGGUAUUACAGGGUAUGACUGUCAAACCAUGGUAAACUUUGAAAUUACACUCUUUUGACUUUCCUUGAGUCUGUCAGGUAAGACCAUAUUAUGCAUUUAAACAAGGGGGGAAAAACAUAAACCAUGUAGAGGUACAUAAAAAUAAUGUUUGCUUAUCAGCUGUGGAUAUUGAGUAUAACUUGAUAAAUGUCUUACUUUACAACUCAUACCUAUAUUUUCCCUAUCAUGUACUUGGCAUACUAGUGCAAAUAAAGCCAUCCAUCCUCUGUACUCACUUGAAGUAGCUUAAAGAUCUGUAAACUAAAUGAUUUUUGACCCACUUUUGAAAGUAUAGAUCAAACUCAAUGGUGUGGGUCUUCAAUUUGUGUACCCCAUCAUUGUUUCCAGAAUUGUUAAAUCUUUUAAAUCUUUUCUCAGAGCUUGAAUAUUUAGUAUGUAGCCUUAAUUUGUAUAUGUAUAUGCUUCUGUGUGGUCUAGCCAAUGUUUCAAAUACAAAGCAGUUCAGCAUGUACGUCUUGAUACAUGCAAUCCUGGGGCCUCCUAAAAAGGGGGAGGCUUGAGUCACUACAGGGUGUAUAUCAAUGCUUUAGACAGAUUCAGUCCGAAGCACCUAAACUGAGGAGGAUCCGAUGGUUCGGGAGUAUAUCAAGGUUGGUUUAUCCUGAAUUGACAUUGAACCACUUAAACAGAGUGGUCCACCUAGGUAUUGCUAGGAAAGUGGGUGACAGGAAUUGUCUCUUAUUCUGCACUACUUGAAAGUGGAAAUGAGAAGAAGAGAGAUGAAUUACUAAAAGGAUUUUCACAUUAGAUUGACCACUCCACAACUAUUUUUGCACUAGUGAUAGGUACACAUUGCUAAAAAAUUUGAUGCACAAUUUGUACUAUUUUGACAUGCCCAGUUUCCAACUAGCCAAAAUUGAAAUUAUCAUAAAUUUUGAACUAAUUAUAUUUUUAAUCAACCAAAAAAUAUAUAUGUUUAAACAAUGUUUCUAAAGCAACAGAAAAAAAGGGAGAAGAUAAAUUGAUGAACCAAAUGAAAUAAGUUCAUGCAACAAAUUUGCACUUCAGAACAUUGGUAAUUGAUUAUAAAGAUGGAUAAGCUAAAGCUAUUUAGUGCUGGUUGAUGGUAGAAAUUAGAAGCAGUCAUUAGAAUGAUUUGGGUUGCAGAUGCUACUAUUAUUAAAUAAUAUUCUUUGCUACUAUUAUUAAAUAAUGCUAUAAAUAAUAUUGUUUCUUUUCUUUCAUUUAGUUGCUAACUUUGACACGUGAAUCUUUAAAAUGUAUUUUAGAUUGCAAAGUGACAUUUUGUGAUAUUUUUGCAUGUCAUGAUUUUAGCAUAAAAAACAAAACACCCUUGACUAGAGUAUUUAACUCGAUAUUCCUAUCUAAUUUCUUAUGAAAACAUAGCAUUUGAAUAGGAAAAUGUUAUUAAAGAAAAUCUAGAUACAGAUUUUGGAGACCAAAAACGGCCAUACCAAGGGCUUUGGGGUGUAUUUAUAUGUAUCCAUCAACACCCUUUGUUCAUAUAAUCCUUGAUAUGACACAUACUGUACCUACCAUUCUCGAUAUGGUAUCAAUCCUUGAUAUUUUGAACCUUGGGUCUAAUCAUGCAUGCACAGACAUGCGAGCACAAAUAUGCAAGUUAUGGCACCUAUUGGAGAUUUAAAUAGCACACUUGACUUCUGAACGAUGUUAUAACGAAAAUAUCAUUGGUGAUGCUACUUGAAGAGCUAAAAGUCCUGCUAUUUUGCCUUUACUCUUAAAGAUAUAGACUCUUAAUGUUGUUGUAUGUGUGUGGAUGUCCAAUUUGAGUGCCCCAUCAUUGUUUCUGGAAUCAUUAAAUCUCUUAAAUCUACUCUCAAAUUUUUACAUUUAGCGCACAGUCUAACUCAUAUAUGUAUAUAUGUGUGCAGGGUCUAACUCAUAUGAAUGUGUGCAGAUCUGCAUGUCUUUGUGCAUGAACGUAUCAUAGAUUCAUGGAACAUUCUUAGUUUGCUAAUGAUGAUAAUAGUGACAAUAUCAUUAGCAGUGUUGUAUGGACACAAAUAUGAGAUUCAGUUCUGGACACGGGUCCACAUGUCUGACUCGGCAAGAGUGAAAACGAGUGGUAUGGGGAUACAUAAAAUAACAUAUAAAUUUAACUAAAUUAAUAUUAUGCCUUCAAACAUUAUCUGUUCAAAGAAUUAAAAAAAAUGUUAAAAAGAUAUUGUUGGUUAAGAUCUUUCAGUGUACAUGUUUCUUAUUUAAACUUCUUGAUUAACUGAAGGAUAUUAGCAAAGUAAUCCUUUGCAAAGUUGUUUUAAUACCUAUAUCCUUAACAAAUCUCAGAAAAGAACAACUGCUCAGUCCUAAUAUCAAACUAAAUGAUCAAACUCAUUGGAAGAGUUCAACUCUCUUCCAAUCUUCAAAGAACUUCAUAAGCAUCCAAGUAUCUGAAAUGUAUCUGACUCAAAUACAUAUCUGACACAGAUUUUGAGAGCCGCAUGUGAGUGUCCGGGUAACACUAAUAAUUGGUGAUGCUACUUUAAGAGCUAAAAUCCUGUUAUUUAGUCUUGAUGCUUCUUUUAGUGGUUUAGAUACUUGAUGGGAUUACUAGACCUGACCAUAUUAAUUUAUUGUUUUUUUAAAAAAAAAGCAUAAGACAUGUAUCACGACUCACACAGUCAUAAUGUAGCUCCACAGUCAACACAUAUCUUGCUCACAGAAAGGCCUAUAGGUUUGACAUGACUAACUGUCAAGGUGGUAAUUAAUGGAAAAUGUUGCAAACCAUAACUUUCAGAUGAACUUUUACCCUCAGAUGUUCCCUUUUUACUAACAACAGAAAAGAGAACACUUGUCAUUUGUAACGUGAUAUAUAUAUAUGUAUAUAUAUAUAUAUAUAUAUAUAUAUAUAUAUAUAUAUAUAUAUAUNNNNNNNNNNNNNNNNNNNNUAUAUAUAUAUAUAUAUAUAUAUAUAUAUAUAUAUAUAUAUAUAUAUAUAUAUAUAUAUAUAUAUAUGGGCAUGUCCAAAUAAUCACACUAUAUCUAGUUACAAAUGACACCUAAAUGUUAUCUGAAUUCAGAAAGUUUAAAAGAUGAUUUGCAGUUGAUGCAUAUAUAGCCACAUAAGGAUACAUGAAUAUGGAAGAACACGUUGUAUCGGUGACUGGAACAUGCAAACACUGAUGCAACAAUCAUAAUGGCAUAUCAUUUGGACUAAAUGUGUCACUGCAGAUUGUGAAGAUGUUUUAGAUAUAUACCUCUGUCUAACUUUAAGUAUGCCAGUGCCCAGCUGCAUCGGAAUGCCCAUUAUAAUACAUUCGCUUACUCCCUCUAUCUGAUCAUUCCUACCACUAUAUGAAGCAUUAAAAAGGUGUUCUGCAGUUUUCUCAAAUGAUGCUAGCAUCAAAACACUGUCUUUCAUCUUCGAGAUGCCAAAUCUAGUGAUUCCAAGAACUUCUCCCUGAGAUAAGCAAUCAUAAUAAAUGACAAAUAUGCCUGGUAAGCAAAUGUAUACUAAGAGCUGAAGAUAAAAGCCUCAAUUAACAAAGUCCCAGCAUCUACAUCACAGACAUACACAACAAAAAUACGAAAUAAUGCUUACUCUGUAAGUCAUUAAAUCUGCCAGAAGCAUCAUAUGCCGUGCAUCGAUGCUCAUGCCAUGAUUACGCAUUGUAUAUUGAAUUUCGUUAAUGAUGCACUGUCUCGCAGCCUCAAUUCCAAUUGUCUGCUGGACUUCAAUGAUAUGAUUACUUUUAGUUUUACUUCCAUCAAUUCCCGGGGUGCCCAUGACUGCCAAAAGGUUUGUACUGCAAUAUUUAUAGAGUGUAAUAAGUCAAUUCAUUUGAACAAUUGAACUGUUAAAAAGAGAAUGCCAUUAUUCUAGGACGGACUUAUACUAGGUAGAUUGCAAAAAAAGAUUAUUGAUCCAUUCAAUUUUGUUUAUACCUAAGAAAUGAAUUUUCGAGUUGAACAAGAAUAAACACAUAUUUAUUAUUCAAUAACUAAAUUAUUUCUGGUUGUCCAACAUAUAUAAUUAAGAAAGCAUUUUAGUGCUAAUGCCAAGAUCAGGGUGCUUUAUAGAAUUUGUUACAUCCACUUCUUACUUUUGAUUACUGUCAUUGAGGAAGUUCAUGGUUGACCAAAGCAUGCAGGGUGGAAUAUGAAGAACAAGAAUAUUCAAUUCCCAAAGCAUAGUGCAUGAACACGAAUAUCACAAGAAAAACAAACCCUUCAACUAGCAGGUUGUAUACUCCGUUAGCAUGGUUGAUAACUGCACGCUCAACAGUUGCGAUACCCUGAGCAUCAAUUACAAAAAAACAUAAGGAUUCCCCAUCCUUAACAGAAACAUCAGAUGAAACUGUGUCGUCAAACAGUUUCUUAAAAUUGAAUCUCAAGGGGUGGAAACAUAAGUUUUACCUUCACAAUAACCUUUGGAAGCACAGCUUUCAAAGAAUGCAGCUCAAAUUGUAGUUUACUCCUAUCUGCUUCAGGAGGGUAUAUUUUCAGCUUGUUGUUGCCAAGGACACGGAUAUGCUGCAAGCAAGCUGCAUAAUGAAGACCCAGCGCUACAAGGAAAGAAUGAUUGCAGAGGUCUGAGGUAAGGAUAUCUUCAUACCUCAGGUUUUAAUUUUGUUUUUGGAUGAUUCAGGAUUGCCUGUUGUACAGACUGGGAAGAAAUUCUCAUAUGCAAGGCUUCAAUCCGUUCCAUGUCAAGUUUCACAACUAUAUAAGGCUGACUGGAUUUCAGUACAAUCUUUAUGGCCUUAGCAACCUGCACAAUCAAAUGAGAUGAACAAUCACCCAGCUUCAAGAUAGUAUUUUACGAAUAUUUGGACAUGACUAGUAAAGACAAGUGGAUUAUUCAAAUCAUCAUAUACAAUAAGCAUGGACCAUUAUCUUCAACUUCAACAUCCUCUAAUGAUUUAUGGAAGGCAAUCAUUCUGCAGGUCAAUUGGUGUCACCAAUCAACAAAAGAAAUAGAAGAUGCAUCAUGUUAGCAAUGCUGUUUAGCUACUUAAAACUACACACAAACUACUUAAGAUGUGGGAGGAAGAUGUGAAGAAUCACUUCCAAUGGCACAUUUUGGAGCAACCUAUAGAACCUUUUCUAAAUAUAUAUGAAAGAUUAAUGCAGAACAUCUAAUGAUCUUAUCCAUUUACACAUUAAUUUCAUCAAGAAAGUUAUAUAGCAUGCUUAAUAGUUUCAAAUUUUGUGAUGGAAUAAAACGUAUCUUUGUAGUAAAAUGAUAGGUAUCAGUGAAAGACCAACUUUCGACUACAUGCGCAGCUGCAUAUUUUGGGCAUCCACUAGUAUCAGAAAAAUCUACAUUGCAAGGUCCAUGAAUUACAUAUCAAAUAAGUACUUAGCCUCUUCAACAUUUUGGAAGAAUUGCCAUGGUUAUCAUUGACCAGCAACAAUAACCUUCACAAAAUGUGAAUUGUAUGGACCAUAUCAUAUACUAUUAGUUUUUAUCUUCAUUAAAGGUAGCUAAAAUAUGCAUUUUGAAAGUUGUCUCAUUUGCUGCUUCACCAGAAAAUUUACGAGUAGCUGAAAAACUUUAGUGGAUUUAACAUUUCUCCAGAUAUCAAAGGGUCAUUCACCCAAAAAUGGAUGGAAUUAUGGAUGAGAUUCUGGGGCGAAAACAUGAACAUGAACAACAAGCUUUAUAACCCUUAUUCUUUUAUAUUGUUGGCCUUCCGGAUUUUACUUUGCCACUAAGGUAGUUUUCAUCGUGCAUAAAUUAAGGGAUGGCCACUGUCAAAUUCCAACAAUAGCAUAGAAAGAGAUGAUGGUUCUAACUCACAAGGCAUGUUCAAGCUAAUUUGUUACUGAUUUCCAGACUUUUCAAUUUCAACAGUCAAGAUGCUUUUCACAGAACAGCAGAGGGAAAAAAGUCUCAUUCCAUUACAAUUAGCACUUCAGUAAGUACUACCGACAGAUCUCCAAGGCAGUAUUACAUAAAUGAUGUGUAACUUUCAUAUCAUCAGCAAGAAACAUACCUCGCCCAAAACAGUUUUCUGAAGACUGCUUCUCACCAUACGUGCUGACAGAACAUCACGGUCAGAGACAAGUGUGGCAGUGAUAAUUGGUGUACUUAUGUUUUUCGCAGCAUUUAUUAUUUCCUUGAUGCGAGGAACCCCAAGAGUGACAUCUAAUGCUCAGUUAAGAGAUCACUUUGCACUAGAUACAGAAUUCAGUAUAAGCAAACUAUCCAAUCUUUGUAUAAGUUGAAUAUAUAGAAAAACAUUGAAGAAUAUCAGACACACGUCCAAGGUCCACCGAACCGGUACUGAGACCCGUCCCUUAUUUCCACAGGGAUAUCACAGAUUGUGCAACAGGAAAGCAGAUGAUGGAAGUAUUUCAGUAAAUGGUUGAAGAAAUAUUCGAAAAAGAUGGAGGUUGUUCAACCAUUUCUUGCUGGAUUUGGAUAAUAAUUGUGAUAACUUUUAAUAGCACUGUGACUUAAUUAGAAACAAAGUCAGAAAUAACAGCACUAAAAAGUAAAGACACUUUGUACUAGUAAAUAUCUCAAACUAGGAAGACAUACAUGAAUGAUACAGCUUUACAUUACCAUCUUGUGUUCCUCAACCAUAGCAUAUAUAUACAGCGGCAGAAAAUGGCAAACCUUCAUGUUUUUUUUGGGAAUUUUCUUUAUUUUCACCUUAAAAUAUAGAUGAUAAUAUCUGCCUACAUGAAGCCCCAGAAAUGUCAAAAGAGAGAGAGGACAAGAAGAAAAUCAAAAGAUAUUUAGCACAGUGAACAUCAUUAUUGAAUACAUCAAGAUCAUGUAUUUUGCAAUUUCUUCUUUUUAUCUAUAAUUUCAGACAAAAGAUGUGUUACAGGUAGAUCUUAAAUCAAAAGUAUACAAAUUUUGACUAAUCCACAUAAAAUUUGUGCAAUAAGAAGGAAACUAUCAAUAUGCAUGAAAUGACGAUGAUAGAUUUGUUAACCUAUUAUCAAAGUUGCUCUGAUAAUUUUGUCACACUGAAAAAAGUAAUGAAUUGCCUAGUUUCUCAAAACAGACAAUAGUGUUUGAGAACAGGAUACAGCAUAAAAAGAAAAAAAAGUGCUUGAGAAGUUGGUAUAGAUAAAAGUAUAAGAAAUUCAAAGGCAGAAUUUUCAUUUAUAGACUACACAAAAGAAAUUAAAGGCUACUUCAGUUUAAUAAUGAAUACACCCAUAGGAUACUCAUGCUAGCAACUCCAGCAAAGUGAAAUGUCUUCAAUGUCAUCUGAGUUCCUGGUUCUCCUAUACUUUGAGCUCCAAUUGCUCCAAUUGCUCCUCCUGCUUCGAUUUUUUUCAAAUGAUAACGGGAUAUACAUGUCUCCAGGAAAACCUAAAACAAGAACUUUGUUAUUUAGAUAAAACUACUCAAGAAAUAUCAGAAACAAAUGCCUUCUUUUCCACAAACUAAAAGCAAAAAGUAAAGAAUACCUUUUAUUGUAAAUUAUUAAUACAAACCAUAGACCUAUGGAUUACAUUUCUUCUUGUAAAAGGUUAAGUGCAAUUGUGAUUUGAGACUUAAGAUGCAAUUUUAACAAGUCAACAACACAAAAAAAUUGGAUGGAAUUUUUUAGAAAGUACUACCAACAUAACCAAUUUAAGUGAAACUUUUCCUUAAUCUUUAUGACACUAGCAGUUCAAACAACUCAAUACUUCCUUAAAACUUGUGUCACACUGUCACCAUUAGACAAGAUUUAGGACUUCAUCAAGAAGCCCUUUUGAAUUUUCUUUUCCAACACCUCCAAUCCACUCAAAUACACACUAAGUGAUAUUCCAAAAGCUUUUCCUGUACAAACUCAUAUUUUUAAUGUCCAUGUUGAAAAUAUUUUCCCCAAAAGUUGUGGCAUUGACCAUCAAAUCUUUUCUCCAUCAAAAGUUCUACAUCCUCCCUAUUCAGGAACUCUUGCUAACUAAUUGAAAUAAAAGAAGGGAACAUGCAUUUCAAUGAAGUAUUAGGAGGUUUUGGAACUCUACAGACCAAAAAUACUUAAAAGGAUCUAUCCUGCAUCAGCUCAUCCCCCCAAAUUAACAUGAUUUUAUAACUCUUAUAUCCUCCUUACCAAAUAUCUAAUGCUGGUUGGAUAGAUUGCUUUCUCCGAUGCUGGUCAAACAGGAUGCAUGCUUCAACCUUAUGUAGAUUCAUAGUAUCUAACAUGGUCCAUUCAUUCUACAGAAACUCCCAAGAACGGUGUGAUUGUGACACCCACAGAUAUGACAAGCAACAAGGUUUUUUUCUUUGUUAGUUUCUAAUAUAAUGCCAAUCCAUGUUAGCAGCAUGCACUGUUAAUCUACAUCAGAAACUGCAAUACACAUGUCCAUGACUUGUUUAGAAACAAUUAAUAUAUAUUUAUUAUGGUCUAGGAUUAUAGAUUGGUCAAAGGCUCAAGAACUGAAGGCACGUACAUUUUCAAGUUUCAACUAAAAUAAUCAAAAAUAAGCUACACCUUGACAAUAGAAAAGAUAAAGAAGAGAGUCAAAAGACCAUUACAUAGUAAUAACAUGCUAGUUAUGUAUUUUUUGGGUAGCUGCACCACUUUGCAUUUAGCAAGAAACAACAAUUUUUAGUAGCUCACAAGUCCUUUUCAGUAUGAGCAUGCAGUGCAAGUCUUAAGUGCUUGAGCAUAACAUUAUUAUGUCUCACAAAAAGAUAUAAUUUUGUAGACCAAUAUCUAUAAAGCAGUGUCACUAAAUAUCAGCCAUAAAGCAUAUUUUUUUUUCCAGAUGAAUAUAAAUAAACUAAUUAACCAAAUUAACCUAGCUUCCGUUCCCAUCUUUCAUCCAGAUGUUGUACCUCAUCUACUCCAAAUGCCUGACCUUCUCCACAAUUUCAAGUGAAAAAUAGCAAUCCAAAAGAGGAAUAUGACACAAACCUGUAGUUGUUUAGCAGAAAUUCCAGAUAUAUUAGCAGCAACACUUUCAAGUACGCUAUAAUCUUGCUUCUGAAGAUGAUUUUCAUCAAGCUGAAGCGCCCUUCUUAUGUUACAUAAUGCAGCAACGCGUUUAUGCAGAAAAUCUGACAACAUUUUCUUGAAGGAUGCUGAGCAACCACCCUCAGGAGUCAUAUCAUAUUUCGAUAGUCUGUCAUCCAUAAUAUGUAAGAUUUCUGCUGGAGAUAAAGUGUCUUGUUCUCUAAGGGGACAUGUAGCCUGCAAAAUCGAAAACAAAACUCAUAUGAGGUUGCAUCUCUUCAAAGCAUAUCCAUAAAGCAAGUUAAAAGAAAAAAGUACAGACCAUGAUUUUCAUGAACAACUGAUCCAAAUUUAAGGGAAUGCCAUCUUUUCCUUCCAUCUUUGCUGGAUCCAUGCCAUCAUCACCAUAAACAAACUGAACUAUAGAUCCACUAGCAGUUCGCACUGUCUGAUCAUAAUAAAUUGAUAAAUCUUCCAAACCUUUCAUCAAUCUGCGGGACAUGUAUCCAGUUUCUGCUGUUUUCACCUACAUUACAUAAGUGCAGAAUUAAGCAUAGAAUGUAACUUUUUUUAACCUUUUCUGUUUUUUUUCUUAUUUUCCUUUUUCCUUUUGGAGAAACCAGGGUUAGGCAGGACCCCUACCAGUUCAUCAUCCAGCAUGAAAUGUUUGGCAUUUUCUAACAAAGAAAUCGCAAUAAGAGAGGAUAGUUGCACCAUACGGCUAGAAAAGAAUAUCUCAAGAAUGAUCAGCAAAAACCAAAGUUCUCUCACUGCUGUUACUUGGAUAAAAUGUCAAGGUGUGGAUAGAUGAAAAUUCUUUAUGCAGAUAUUUGUUUCAUUAGAAUUCAAAAGAGAAGCUUUAGAAUGAGUCCACAUUCCUCAGAACAGCAGACAAGGUGUGAAACACAUGAAUUUAUUGAACUUCAAAACAUUUAGAUGAUGCCUAUUCUUCCCUAGAAAUUCAAUGGCAUACAAUAUCUGAUAUAACCAGAAAAAUGAGAGAACUUUAGCAAGGAUACAAAUAUCAAAUAGGAACUUGUAGCAACUUUUGAACAAUAUGUUCUAAUAAAGUACUUAGGUACCUUUGAACCAAGGAUUCAGGUCCAGACGGGAUGUCCUAUGGGACAUCUAGAUGGGGUACCAUCUUGUAUGUCGGGACAAGACCGUUCCGCUAUCAUCCUAGCAUCCCAAUCAAGAUAUCUUGGGACAUCCCCUAUCCCAAGUGCUAGGAUGGGUGGGAUGGCGGCACGUUCCGUUCCUUGAGAAAACCGAAACAGACCCAUCCCACAAGAUUUAAAACCUUGCUUUUAACAACAUUGCUUAUUCAUAACCAAAGGGCUAUAAAUAUGCAUAGCACAGAGGAAUAUUAGGGUGAAAGCACGUAAAAAAGCAAGAAUUGGAAGGUAGAGAGUCACUUGAAAAUUCUUAGAAUUAAAUGGCUAUAAUUAACUUACAAAUGCUAAAAACUAGAUACUAGAUUGGAGCUGCAAAUGUAGCAGAAAAAGCCACAGCAAAGGAAAGAAGAGAGGCCUAGUGUUGAAAGACUUGGAGGACCUUGGUUGAUGGUUGACAGUGUGACUAUGAUAUGGGGAUGCCCCUCUAGUUGGAAGAUAUUCUAUUGCAUAAAGUAAUCAGUGGAAAGUAAUUAAUAAAACUAAUCCAUGUACCUUAAUUUUUCGUGCAAUUUUUGCUCUUUUUCUCUGAAGAAGAUUUUAACCCAAAUUCUCAGCAACAUAAGCUUGAUCAUGCAAACACAGCAACACAGUUAUAGGAUCACAUAUUCAAUGUUAGUACUUCAUGUUUAUUAGCUCAGAUAAUUAAAUUGAAAAUUUGUUUCUUAAGGAUGUGAUGAUGGGUUCCCCAAAACAUAGAUAGGCAUUUUGUCCUAUAGGCAUUCAUAGACAAGCAGUACUUACCACCACAUCCAUGUCCAAAUUUAGUUAUAAAAGCAUAUACAACACUGGAUGUUUGACCAGGUUGACAUUGUAAAAGCAACAGUACCUCAGAAUAUAAGACCGCAGUUGAAGUGCUUGUAACAAUUGACAUGUGGUUAGCAAAGUAAUAGAACAAGUUAUACAAACACGUAUAAGGUUAUGACACCUUUCCUGGCAAGAACUCCUACGAUAUAAUGGAAAAGUCAUCAGAAUGCAUCAAAGUCAUAUCACACAAAUUCUCUGUCAACGACAACAGUAUCACUAGCCUUAUAGCCUUGUGACGGUAAAUGCAACUGACUUGUAAUAGUAAAUACAUAUAAUAUUCAAGCGAGCAUUAAUGAAUUUAGAUGACUUGAGGACAUAAUCUGUAGUUCCACCCCACAUAACAUGCACAACAUCCAACUUAUGGCCAUGCCACCAUGAUGCUCCUAGACAUUUAACAUUGUGAUGAUGAGAGGCACAUGGCCCAAAAACGUGAUCUUAGUACUAGCACAACAAAAUUUGUUAGGUAUCUUGUGUUUCAAUGCCAUUUGACUCUGCAUCUUCUUGGCAUGGCCAUCUUGCAUCAAUGUUAUAAAUCAUAUGCUGAAUUUAUUUUGUAACUUCUCUUCGACAUCAUAUACAGAGGCAAAAUUUCUGAUUUGAUUCUUUGCAUCUCUUUCACAUUAGUCAAAUAGCAUCAUCAUGCAAAUUAAAAUUUGAUUCGAGAUGCAUGAUCUAUUAAAAUGAGCCAAGAAUGCUUCAAAACAAAUUAGUCAAGAAUGUCUUAGAACAUGUACAUAGACCAUGUCUUAUAUUCUUGAAUAUAAAAGAAUCAAAUACAGCUAGGAUUUGAAAUGGGUUAGGUUUCUUAAUCCAAGCAUUUCAGCACAAGUCUGGUAACAUGUGCUUCUUUUAGUGCCAACACAGUUGACUGAAUAGUAUGAGCACAAUAUAUGAUCAUCAAACUUAGCCUUAAAUGGAUGUUCAACACAAUUUAGUAUUCUUGACAAUCUGUAGCAUAAGCUCAUUUAAAUCUUCAUAAUUCCAUUUUGAUGCAUUGGGAUGAUAACAUUGCCUUAAUCCAUUAGGAUUAUAACAUGCCUUAAUUAGAGAAACCAACAUGAUGGAUAACUUGUCACUAUUUAGUCUUGCAUAUACUUCCUGCUAUUAUCCAUCAUUAUAGUACCUCGAAAUUUUGCUUGUCACUAUAGUCCCUCGAAAUUUUGCUCCUUCCAGUUUGUUCACUUAAAAGCAUGAAAUGCCAGUUCUUCACUGCUUCACAACAUUGUAUCAACUAAGUUAUGGUAGAUCCAUGAUUAAACCCCAAUUUCCGAGUGGCAAAAUAAAUGUUUCUAUGGAACUGACACCUUGAUCAACCUCAAUUCCUUUUGGUGCAGAAAUUGCUAUUUGUUUGUCAUGCAACCAAGUGUCAUCUUCACAGUCAACAUUUCUAGUUGUUUCUCUCACUUUGAGAGCCUAAACAACACUUUUAUCUUGCUCAAAUUCCUACUCCUGAUCUAAAAUUGUGCUACAAAUGCAUCUAUAUCCAAUCACACUGGUAAAUUUGAAGAUUAUUCUUUAAUUCAAAAUAUGUCAAUGCCAGGCCUCCAAAAGACACAUAAACACAUACACGGGGGGGGGGGAGAGAGAGGGAUUUUACCCAGUGUCAAACAGGUUAAUAAAUCAAAUUGUAGGGAGAUGUUACAGACUGAUACAUACCGCGGUAUCCACAAGACCUUCUCUCCCACCCAUUGUAUGGAAAAAGAAUUCUGUUGGUGUCAGCCCGGUAUAGAAAGAAUUAGCUACAAAACCUUUAGCCUGCAAUGCAAGUAACAACAUCAUCACUAAGCUGUCCAUUUAACAACUAAAAUUAGAAACAAAAUUCAACUAUUAGAAUAUGCAAUGUGGCACUUCUGAACAACAAACCAAUGCAACUCAGUUGAAUAAAUUAUGAAUGUUAUGUGUAGGUCAAUGUGACUCACAUCUCAAUGGCUAAAACACGAAAUACAAUUAGCAAGGACCUAUGGAAAUAUCAGUAAAGAGAUAAUGAUUGCCGAGAUUUUAUUACAACAGUGAAAAAUUGGCCCACCUAUGUUAGAUUAACAGAUUCUACUAGUCAGUAGAUUCAAGCAAAGAUCAUAAAAUAUUAGUAGACUGCUAUCUUAUAGAUUUCCAUUAACAUAUAUGCAGAUGAAAGUUGGAAGAGAAUCAUAGGACUAGACCAGUGGAAAUGGAUAUUUAUACCAAAAAGAAAGGAAAACCAAGCACGAAACUACAGUCAUCUCAUAUGGAAGUCGCUAAAGUAGGCUUAUUAUGUAAAAUAUUUCAGAAAGUGGGGCCCUCAACCGAGCAGAAUGGAGGAAAAGGAUUCAUGUUGCAGACCCGAACUAGUUCGGUAUUAAGGUUUAGUUGAGUUGAGUUGAGCUGAGCUGAGCUUACUAUUAUAUAAAAUCCUAACACAUAUAUAUAGAGAUUUGUGAUAAAACAAGGUCAAACAAGAUAUAGAGGGAGUAAAAAUGUUACUAAUCUGUCAUCAAUCUUACCGCAGGAGUCUUUGAAUUUAUAGGGAAGUGAGGAAGAGUUCGAUCGAUAAAUCCAUUGGGAGCACGACGCCCACCAACUGAUUGUUGGCCCACACAUGCAACCAUCUGGCUGAUAUUGAUUGGAGAACCUUUGGAUCCACAUUGUGACAUAAUUAAAGGGCUGUUUCUCCAAUGGAGCUCAUUCAUACAAACCUGAAAUAGGAAAGUCAUUGAAGAUUCUCCGGUUAGUGACCCACUGGAAAUAUGAAAUGGUUACAAUGGUCUUCAACUUACACCCUAAAAAUCUAAGAACUUAAUACAAAUUGGAACCAGCAAUGCAGCACUAAAUUUCCGGUGACAAAAAAAAUAAGACAAGAUGUAGAUAGAUGAUGUCCAAAUGAUGCUGAAGAGAAGUUCAAGUCAAACUGUAAACAAAUAUGUUUUGAUAACCCCAGUUUAACCAAGAAAGACAAUGUGAUGCAAAACCCAAAAAAUGCAGAUGAUAUUUAGCAAUAAAAAACAGUAAUACAGGAACUAAUUUGCUAUGACAAAAACAAAACUGAUAGCACCCAUACAUUUCCAGCUGUAGCUCUAAUUUGAUUCAGCACGCCAGUUAUCUUAAGUUCCAGUGUUUGAGCUGCAUUGCAACCAGGCUGCAAGAUAAGUUCCCCUUUGCUAUACGAGGAUAUAUGUCCAUGGCAUUCUCUAUAUCCCUCAUUAAUUUUCUUCCUUUUCUGCUGGUUAAGAUUUUCUCCUGGUUGGACAUCAUCAAUGCCAAUGGAAAAACCAUGGUUUCCAAUCCACCUGGCACUGCAAAUACAACAACAGAUAACCAUAUGGAAAGCUUACAUCUGCCAUUAACGAGCAAAAAAAUUAACAUAAAUAUACUUAUUAUAAUACUAUAAUUAUCAUGAACAUGAGAAAGCAUAUAAGAUCACAACAAAAAUCAGUAAACUGUUAGAAGAAUUAUAUGAUUUUCAAAAAUAGAAAAACAAAGAAGUUUCUAUUGCAUGUAAUAAAAAUUGUCCAUGAUCAAAGUGCCAACUAGUGCAGUUGGUAAUCUUUGGGAGUUUGUACCAAGGACCUGGGUUUUCGUCCUGCCUUCACUUGGAAUUUGGCUGGAAUUUCUCCUAUCCUAUUUCUCUCCACACAGAAACAAACAAAAAAAAGGGGGUCAAGCACAGCAUGCAAUUAUUCUUUUAGUAAUUAUACGGUUCUAAAGUACGAGGAAAACAUCUGUAAAUCAACCUUUGCAGUCUACAAAGUAAACAAAGUUCUAAAACUUCCCACAAGUCAUAUCAAGUUCGCAUAUGAACACUUACACAGCAAAGAAAUUUGGAAAGAGUCAGGACUCGGGAGUGUGCCAAAAGUAGUUGAUGUAUACCCUCAUUAUUCCCAUUUUCUUUUACUUUCACUCACUUAUUUAACAACAAAAUUGCUUGCAUGCACAAAUUUGCAUGACUUGCCCUGGAGAUAAUCUUCAUAAUUUCAGGUGACAACCAAAACUGGAAAUACCAAUCAUAACCUAUAGCAAUGUUGAAGUGCCCAAAACAAACAAUUUACAUAUUUGACUACAUGAAAAGGCUUAAUUUGAACCUCAUAACACAACAAAAAGCUACCUCAAUUUUGCAAGGCGAUUCAUGCAACUUGCAGCAGCAUGUGGAUUGUAGUCUCUUAGGAGCACAGCAAACAGCCCAUCCUUAUUGCCAUUUCCUAGAGUAGAAAAAAAAGCAGCAUGUACAUCUUAAUCAAUUUGAACAGUCUAGACCAACCACUGCCACAUCAAAAUUCAUUUAAAAUCACAUUAUCAUUUAAGAACAUAAAAAACAUACUUGACAAAGGCAUUUAGUCAUGAAAAAACAAACUUUAACCCACAGAUACAAAUCAAUGGAAGGAACAACUUAUGAAUUAAUUUCAAAGACAAAUAGACAUACAUCAAAAAGCUAAUGUAUACAGUACAACGCUCUGAAGCUAUCACAGUACUCCCUAUAAGAUUUUACACUAUGAUACCAUGUUAAUCGUGAACUUACACAAAGGCCUGAACUCUAUACGUGAUAGAAACCCAUAAACAAUAUAUGUUCAAACAUGAUACAAUUUCAAAUGGGCUAGAACUCUAUUAGAUGCAAUUGCACAUAGAGAUAUAACCUGAAAGUUUCAAUAAUGAAAAACAAGUCAUCAAUAAAAGAUCACACCUUAGGUGCUUAUAGAAGUCUGUUCACAAGCAUAAAUAUUAACACCUAUUGUAAUUCCAACUCAAAUACUAUAACUAGUAUACAAGCAAAUACAAGAGAAUGUUUAGAAAACAAUGGAUCAUAGGCCAAACUUUAUCAACAAUGCUAUAACGGGUUUCAAAAAAUAACAUAUUUCUCAACAAUCCAAUUGGGUCCAGUGCAACAGAGCUUGGAAAGAUAAUAUCAUGAGAAAUAGAAAUGGGAGGCAUUUGAGUUGUAUGUGUUUUUUCUACUGUUCACACCAAUAAGCUCAUAGAACCAUUUCAAUAAAGUUUUAUUCAAAAAUUAAAUGACAAUCUUGGUAGGAUAACUGACAAGCCCAUGGGCUUACUUUGUUCUUUUUUGAUAUAGCAUUAGUAAUUCACAUAUAAAAUUAUAAAUCACAUAUAUGACUAAACAACUCAUAUAGAUCACAGUAAGAAAAUAUUAAGCUACAUUUAUUAGGCCAUGAAUACAUUGGGAAUGAUCAAGCUACAAUAUAAUUGCAUAUGCCAAAUACCAGAAGCAUGCACCUAGCUUAUAGUUGAGUGGCAUAUGUUCUAAGCUGCACACACAUUCAUAUAUCUUGUAUUGUAACAAAGACUAUAAUGCUAGUAUAAAUAGUCAGGAUCACAAGAAUCAGGUUAGUUUAUGGACCCUGAUAAAAAAGAUGACAAGCUCUACAGGAUCAUUAACUGAGGUUAUAGAAUGCACAAAUUACCCUUGAAAACUUAAGAUCGAGAACCCUACUCCAUCAUGAGGCAACCACUUCAUGCAAUAUUUGACCAUAAUGCAAUGUUUGAAAACUCAGCUUUAGACUCAAAAGCUGGACCAGAUGAGUUUCAAUUUUGGCAAUUCUGACACUUUUUGUGGUUUUGGCUCUGGAUUCAGUGGAAGUUACAAAGAAUCCAAAAUUGACAAUUAACAAAUAAAAAAUUGAAAAAAAUAAAAACAAAAAUAUUUAAAAUAUAUUCUAUAGUUGAAGAUUUUUAAAUGUACCUUCUGGUAGUUUCACAUGCAGAUAUAGUGUUUGCUUAUGAAUCAACCAAAGUCUUCAGAGCAAAAUAAGGUUGAUGCAUAUCAAUGCCUAAUCAUUUUAAAGCAUGUGAUUACAGAAAGAUCCAGCAUAUUUCUGACAUAUACAACUUCAUUUGGAAGGAAGUUGUAAGGAGCCUUGCAUAUUCUCAAAAGUCAAAAUUCUUAUAAACUGUAACUGAUAAAAUGCCUGCCAAAUAGGUUAUGAACCAAGGCUUAAGUACCGGUUUUGGAACCUGGACUGGAACCCAACCAGUAAAUCUCAUACCAAGUGUCAAGUAUAGUACAUCCUUGGGUACCGACAAACAGUAUGGUGACCGUAUCAGGUACCAAUUCCUUAGAGGUUUGGUGCAAUAUGUGAAUACACAACUACUGUAUAUAAAUCAUUGUUAUGAACUAUAAGAGUCAUUGAGAUCAUAUAAAACCUACUUCAAGGAAAAUGAGUUCUACAAGGAAAAAAAGGGGGCACAUGAUCUUUCUUUAAUUUGAGAUGAAAAUGGGAAAAAGAAAUAUGUAUAAACAAAAUAUAAUAAGCAAGAUAAGAUUCUCAAAAUAACAAAAAUAUUCCUAGCCAAGGUUUGUAAGCAAAGGGCCCUCUUACCUAAAGUAGCCUUCCCAAGCUGCCCACAUAUUAGCUCACUGUUCCGGAAAUAGACACAACCAUCAUUGGGACACAUUGUUUCAGAUUUGCUAUAGAUUUUCUCCUUCACAAUAAGAUUCAAAAACACCCUUGUAUUUGCAUUAGGGCGUAUGAGAACAUUGAAUAGCUGUUUCCCUGUCCAGAGCUCAAUGGGCUGCAAAAUAAAAUAUAUGGGGAAAAAUAAUCAAAACAUCAACACUAGCAGCUUCAAUUUAAAUUUGCAGAAUAGACAGCAGCAAAAAAAAGAAAAAAGAAAAAAAUUUUAAAAAAUGGACUAAACAACCCAAAGAUUCCAAACCAAGAAGAAGAAUUAAAGAAAAGUGAAAGCUAGUAACAUCUAAAAACAGGCAUUAAGAGAGAGAGAGAGAGAGAGAGAGAGAGAGAGAAGAAAACUUCAAACUUUUGCCAUGAUCUCAUAUAAUACGGGAGAUCUUUCAAAGUAAAACGAACACUUAUGAAUUGAUGAAGAUAGCAGCAGUCAUUGGGAUUUCUUUAGCACACUAUUUCUUUGGGAUCCCAGGGUUGUAAGGGUCGCUACAUAUGCAUGAGUAGGACAUGUAAGGUAAAAGAUCAGAAAAUAAUUAUGAUAUGGAGAUCUCAGUUCCUACUUGCAACAUAUCCUCAAUGAGAAGACAGAAAGAUAGAAUUAAUCUAACAGUUUUUUUUUCAAAAUACCUUUAGAAGUUAGAACAUAGUCUCCAGGGGACAAAGGCAAAGAACAAAAAUGCAAGCAAGAUAAGAUCCUAGAACAUCCUAUGUUUUAAUAUCACGAUAACAUUCCAUACAUAUGCGGAGUUAUAAAAUGUAAAUAGUUAACAUUUUUUUCCAUUAGAAACAAAAAAAAAAAGAAGUAAUUGGCCUUUCUAGGGAAAAAAAAAAGUAGAGAACUCAAUUUCCCUAUCACAGUUUAUAUCUAGAAGUAUUAUUAUGGUCAAAACCAUAUAAUAACCAUAGCGUAAAGCCUUUCACCAGUAUUUAGGUUCAAGGUUAAAAAUCUUCGCUUGCCAAGCUUUCCAAUUUAGGUCACCUCAUGAAAUUAGCUUGGAAAACAUUGCAUAAAGCAAAGGAUACCCUAGCAUUCACGAAUAUCAAAAUUUGGGUUUAAAUCAAAGAUUGAUUUACAUUUUAUGACUCGUUAUUGAAGUGAUGUCAAUUCUCCUAUUGUGUAGCCCUUCAACAGUUACACCAGUUGCCAAAAGUCAAACUUUGAUCAGUAUCAGAAAUAUCGAUUGAGCUAGAGACAAGAUUUUUCCCUCAUGGUGCCAAGCAAGGUUCGUGGACUUGGUACCAGAGUCCAUACUGGUGGGCUGGAGGUACGGAUUGGUACAGAUCUGUAGUGGACCGAACCGGCGCGAACCAACAUAGAGGAGAAGAGAUGAACCGAGAGGAAAAAAAGAGAGAUAGAGGGGAGGGGGAGGGAGGGGGGAGGAAGAAGGGGGAAGGCAGUGGCUGGAGGAGACACCGACAGUGGCCACAGAUGGGCCGCCAGCGCACUCGGAGGGCCGCGAAGGCCUCCACUUCAUCCGCCACUCGACCAUGAGAGAGAUAGAGGGAGGAGGAGGAAAAGAAAAGGAGGGAGGGGAAGCUGUCGGAGAGGCCCCCGAAAAGCCUUCGACUGGUCACCAAGACCGCUGAACAGUGCAAUCGCAGCCUUUAGCACUGCGAGCGUGAAACAGGGGUGGUCACCCCUGUGCCACAGCCGCGGCACUGCCCGCGAAGUUUCCACUAGCCGAUGGCCACGACGGCCACCCGGCAAACUCCGACGGCCACCCGGCAAACUCCGACGGCCCCUCCACUGGCUACGCCUCCCUCCGAUACGUCGCUCCCUCUCUCUUUCUUUCUUGCUCAAUUAAGUGUCCUAUCGGACGACGCCGAGCUAUGGAGGCCUCAGCGGACCACCGCUGGCCUCCAACGGCCUCAUGCCAUGUCUCCCUCCCCUCCUCUCUCUCUUUCUCUCUUUUCCUCCUCCUCCGAUGUGUACCAUUUUUUUCGGCCGAACCAUCUCGGUUCCUCACUAGUCCGGCUCGGUACGGGGUGUACCGAUCGGUUCGGGCCAGUACGAAAUUCCAUAGUGCCAAGAUAUGUACUAUUGUGUAAAAGGACCAUAUACUGUAGAUGGCUCAAAACUGUCAUGGUUGAUAAAAUGUAUGAAUAUUGCAACAAAACACCACUUAAUCACACAAUAUGUACCUUUGAUUUAUAUUAUAUAAUUUUCUCUUUUUCCUGAGUAGGCAAAUUGAUAUCAAAAGAAUUUAAGAAUCAGAACAAGAAUAUCAAAGUAUACAUAAAUAAUAUAAACUAAUACGUACCAAAAAAUAAUAUAAACUAGCAAAUUUUUUUAUUUCAAGAAGAAAAUAGAAAUACAUAUCAUUCAAAAUUUUAAUCCAACAUAUUAAAAUCUUAAAGUAUUGUCGUAAAAGAAGCCAAAUAGUGUAAUAGACUAUAAGAUAAACAUUGAUGGAUAAAUGAGAACCCUAUCAAUGCUAUAAAAACUCAAAGAUCUUGGAUUCCUGCUGGCAUGUUAUCCAUCCGUUAACUAAAAUAAAGUUUAAGACCUAUGGCAAGAUUUCAUGCUCAUAUUUUUUACUAUAAAAUAAAUAUUUACAUUUAACAAAAAUAGAAGAACAAAGUAUAGGGUUGGUGCCAAUCCAUUUCCCAAGAACUCAUCUCUCCAUUUCCUCUGUGAUGCUCCUUAUUUUUUUAUUGCUGGGGCAGCUUACAGAGACCAUGGAAUCGAAUAUCAGCAAUCUGAACUCUUUAAGGAAAUGAUGUUGCUGGAUCAGCUUUUCAUCUCUAGAAAAAGCAAAGGAACAAAUGAAUCAUAAACAUGGUAAAUUUGCAGGACAUCUUCGACCAUGCAUCUACCCAUUGUCAGGUCAAACAAGCCCCCAGUUCUUGUAUGAAGACAGGAGCAUUAGCAAUGUGGAUUAUGAUGACCCUUCAGAAUACCAUACGUGGUAGGACUUUUGCCAAAGAAGAAAGAACUUGGACCAUCAUUUGACGGGGAAUAGGCUUUACAUCUUUCCUCUUGAAUGGCUAAUUCGCAAAUUUAUGGCUUCCUUUUUUAUGCUCAAAACAGCCACUUAUUUUGGUAUCAUCCAAAUUGCCACAUGCUAGUAUGUAGUGAGCUUUUCUGAUUCUCACUUUAUAGCAGUGACAAGUGACUGAUCUUGGUAGCUUGAAUUUUUGAGUGAGAAUUAUGAAAGAGUAGUAUAUGGUGAAUACAAUUCUGGAAUCUGAACUAUGAGAAAGGUCUUUGAAUUUAUCAGGAAGAGCAGAUGCUGCCAAAAAAAGGAGGAAGAGCCAGACAAAUUUUGGGAGGGGGAGCAAGCAUGAAUUUUUGAACUGGGUUAUUUGAGGGUUAUCAAAAAUCCUGGAAGGAACUGGAAGUCUAGAGGAUGCAAGAGGAAAUCCAUUUGAAUGCCUUAUCAUGGCUCAAGAAUCCAGUUGCUGCUCUCAUGCUAGAUGCACCAAGUGGCAAAUUGCGCUUGACCAUUUAGUAUCACAAAUUAUGUAUGGCCCUCUUGGCAUGGUUAUCGUAUUUUUGGGAACAAUAUGUUGGAAGUUAAAUCUAUACAACAGUCGGAAUAGAUAGAAAGAAAUUCCUUAUAUUGGCCCCCAAUAAAAGCUAUAUUGUAAUUGUUAGACCCUCCUAGCAGCACUCCUGGGUUGGCAUGGGUUGGUGCCUGAGGCUGUGCCAGCCUAGGUGAAUAGGGGAUGGGUAGGAGGCAUGCCUUGGCAAGGCACCAUUGUGGGCAUGGAGUUUGACCCACAUCAGUGGCAAGAGGGCUACCUACUGAAGCAUGGCUUGAGGAUUACACAAGCCAAAAGCGUAGCAAUUGUUGAGUGGUUUAUGGUCCAUGGGUGGUGAUGGCUUCGGCACAUCAUGGUGCCUAAGUGGCUAGGCACUAGCUGCAAGAUGCAGCAUAGAUACACACAGGACUGCCUGUCUGGGUGUGGCUUGGACUAGGGGCAACAGCUAGGCUAGGCUGCCAAUGCAUGGCACGCACUACAGGGGCAUGGCGUGCAAAGAUUGGUCCGUGGCACGCACACCAAACAUAGACAUGUGCACACCCCAGACAUGGGCAUAUACGCAAGCCAAAGGUAUAAGACGCAUAGGUGUGCAUACCACAGGAAGAAGGCAUGCAAGCCAUGGGCACAUGAGGUGCUCAGGCCACAAGCGCAUAACCCAUUGGCAUGCAGGCUAUGGAAAGGCUCAGGUGCCGCACACUAACUAGGGCACACAAGGGUGAAGGUCGGGUGCUCAGGUAUAGCACACUAACUUGGGUGCACAUCGGCAUGUGGGCACACUGAUGGACGCACAAGGCAGGCACGCAAAUAGAUCUGUCAGAUGAAUUCUAGAGGGGGUUUCUAGUGGAUUUACAUAUGGUUGGACCUGCAACCAGCAGUUGCUCUUGUCCAAAACUCAAACUAGGUGAUUUAUAGCAGUUUUGGGGAGUUUUCCAAUUAUUGGGGAUAUGGUUUGCCAUACCGUCCCAUACCAUACCAUACCAGUAUGCUUUACCGCCUCAUACCGACCCUAUCGUACCAUACCAACCAUGUACCAACACUACAAUAAGAUUUUACUAGUAUGGGAUUUGGUAUCGAUAUAGUGAACCUUGACUAGGGGAUUGUCUACCACAUGGCUAUAGUUAAGUAUGCUUGCUAGCCCUUUGGGCAGAGAUGAGCACAUAGGGCAAAAGAAAGUGUGGUGGGAAGUCCCAUAGGAUUGAGACUUGCUGAGCAACCUCAUAUGUUAGUGCAAAGAGGGAAUAACGGGAGGUUUAUUCCUAGAGGGCCAUUGUAUCUUUUUGUAACUGUAGUAAAGAUUCGGAAAAGGGUUACCUUGACAUUGUGCGCGUGGGUUCUGCACACUUUGGCCCUCCACUAUUGCAUCCCAUAGAAUGUGGUAAAGUCCCAUACAACCUCUCUUGUACAUGGGCAUUGGAAGGUUGACUAAACAAGGUGUUCAGUGCUGUACAAGGCACAGAACUUGGUGAAAAUUUCGUAUCAAGUUAUGACUCUAUGACAAUUGGUAUCAGAGCCUGUUUGAGAGUUCUUUUAGUGGAUUCCCAUCAAAUAUCAAGCAACUUGAUACUAAAGUAGAGGGGUGACCGCUGAUGCACACCUGCAACAUCAACAUGGAGACACUAAGGAAGAGGAUGACCUGGCUGGAGGCAACUAUUCAGGGUGCCGCUAACAGAUCCUAAAGAGCCUCUAUGGAUGUAGGUCGAAAACUUAGUGGCUUGGAUGACCAUACUGCAAGGCUUCGUCAAUGACUUUGUCAAGAUGGCUCAAUGAAAGUAUGAUGAGAUAAUGUCGAACAUUAAAUAUGUCCAGGGCAAUGUUACUCUCGUCAAGACUGCACUAUAAAACCAUUCACUGGGAGAUGGCACAAUGAAGAUGAAGGUCCCUGACCUGACUCAAUGGCACUCGAAGUGCCAAAGAUCUAGACAAUUUUCUAUGGGACAUAGAAUAGUACUUCAAGGCUACACAAUUGCCUAAAGGUGAGAAAGUUUUGAUCGAAAGCAUGCAUCUUGCAGGUGAUGCCAGACUCUGAUGGAGGACCAGGGCCGAAGAUGAUGCUCGACCAAUGAUCGAGACUUGGGAAGUUCUCAAGCAGGAAUUGAAGGAUCAAUUCCUCCCCUGUAACACAACCUGGGGUACGAGGGAUGUGCUUAAAAUGCUGAGGUAGACCGCUUCUGUGAGAGACUAUGUCAAUGAAUAUAGUUCUCUGAUGCUAGACAUCAAGGACAAGUCUAAAGCAGACAUAUUGUUCAACUUCCCAUCAAGAUUGCAACCAUAGGCUCAGUUGUAACCGUGAAGGUAGGGUGAGAAAGACUUGCUGACCGCAUUGGCUAUUGCAAAUGAAUUGGUGAAUCUUAGAAACAACAAACCCAAUAGUGGUUCUUCCACCAACGAGAGCAAGUUCAUGGACAAAGAAGUCGGUGAAAGGAAGACCAAGGUUGUUGGCAAGGGGAAGGCUAAAGUAAAGGGCUCCAACUAGAAGGACUAAUUGUUUCAUUUGUAAUGGUCCUCACUUGGCUAGGAAUUGCCCCAAUCCAAAGAAGCCCAAUGUUGUAGUAGUGGAGAGCAGCUAGAAUGGCAAACCUAAUUCUGAAAGUCUAGAAAGAAUUGCUCCUUUGCAAUUGCUGGGUGCAAUCAAGGCAGAGAAGGCAAAUGAUUGUUCCAAUUUCAUGUUCAUGAAGAUGAGAAUCAAUGGGCAAUAUAUGGCAACUCUGGUUUACAUGGUUGCUACCUAUAUCCUUGUCACUAAGAAGGUCAUGGGUGCUUUGGGCUUGAGUGUGGUGAGACACUAGCCAGCUCAAAGUAGUGAAUUCCUAAGCAUAGGCCAUAAAGGGUAUGGCCUAUGGCGUCAAAGUUUCCAUCACGGAUUGGGACGGUCAAAUGAACCUGAUGAUGAUUUCACUGGAUGACUUUGACAUGAUUCUAGGCAAUGACUUUUGUGUCUGCAAAGCUGGCAAUUAUGCCAUAUAUGUUUGGGUAGCUAAUCAAUAAUGAGAAGCCAUACUUCGUGGUAGGGCAUGGAAUGCCUACAAAUUAGAUGACGACAAGCACAAGGCAAAGAUGGUCUCUGCCAUGCAAUUGGCCCAUAGUUUGGAGGAGCCAACCUUGGAGCAGUUGGAGCAACUCAAAGGCCACCUAUCUCACAUCUUGCCGAGGAUGUUGGGUUCUUUCAGUGGGGGUGGUCUGUUAGAUGCUCACUAGUGGCACUCAUGGGUUGGCACAGGUUGGUGCCUGGGUCUAUGCCAGCCUAGGUGAAAAGGGCAUAGGAGGCAUGCCUUGGCAAAACACCAUUGUGGGCAUGGAAUUUGGCCCACGUCAGUGACAAGAGGGCUUACUACUGGAGCAUGGCUUGCAAUUCCACAUGCCAUAAGCAUGGAACUUGUUGGUCUCGUGGUUUGAUGGUCCAUGGGUGGUGAUGGCUUCAGCACGUCACUGAGCUCAAGUGGCUGGGCACUAGCCGCAAGAUGCGAUGUAGACAUAGAUGGGACCAGAUGUGACUUGGAUGAGGGGCAUUCGCACUAGGUUGGGGCACUAAUGCAUGGCUCAUGCUAUAGGGGCAUGUGCGCACCCUAGGCACAAACACAUGCACACCCUAGGCAUGGGCGCAGGAUACGCAAUCCAAAGGCAUGCAAGCCAUGGUCAAGCAAGGCACAAGUGCACAUAAUGCAGGCACAUAGGCCAUAAGCACAAGAAGCACUCGAGCCAUAGACACACAGGUCAUGGGCAAGCAACCCGUUGGCGCAUGGCUGUGGAAAGGCCUAGGCAUAGCACACUAAUCUAGGCACGCACAAGUGGAGGCCAGGCGUCCAAGUGUGACACAUUGACUUGGGCAUGCAUGGGUGGAGACCUGAGCACCUAGGUGAGGGCACAGGCUGUAGUCACACGGGCGCAGGGGAGGGUAUGCGAAAGGCCUCACAAGCAAGCAUGAGGAUGAACCAGUCGCGUAGGUGCACAGGCAUGCUGGCACUUAGGCACAUAGGUGCACAGACGUGCUGGUACUCAAGUGCACGGGCACCUAAGCAAACAGAUUUGCUAGACAAUUUGCUAAAGGGGGUUUCUAGUAGAUUUACAUAUGGUUGGAACUACCAUCAGCAGUUGCUCCUGCCCAGGACUCGAACCAAGAGGUUUGUAGUAGUUUCGGGGAGUUUCCAGUGGUUGAGGGAUUGUCCACCACAUGGCUGUAUGCAGGCUUGCUGGUCGGCCCUUUGGGCAAGGAUAAGCAUGGCGGGCAAAGGAAAAUGAGGCGGGAAGUCUCAUAGGGUUGAGACUCAUUAAGUGACCUUACAUGUUUGGGAAAGGAGGGAAUAACAGGAGGUUUGCUCCUAGAGGGCCAUUGUAUCUUUGUUACCCAUGGAUUGUAACAAAGAUCAGGAAAAGGGUUUCCUUUACAUGGUAUAUGUGGGUUCUGCACACUUUGGCCCUCCACUGCUGCAUCCAUACAAUGUGAUAAAGUCUCAUACAGCCUCUCUUGUGCAUGAGGGUUGGAAGGCUGACUAAACAAGGCAUUCAGUGCCACACAAGGCACAAAACUUGGUGAAAAAUUCGCUGCAAGUUCUGGCCUGUGACAGUAACCAUGAUCGAUAUAAGGAACAAAUUGUUAAAUAUCCAGGGAAGUGGAAGCUAAUAUUUUAUAUAGUCAAAUAACUAGAUGUCAUGUGCAUAUAGAUUGACAGUAAGCUAGAUGCUAAAAUAAGAACCACCUAUUAAUUGUUAAGCAAUAAUGGGUAACAGCAUGCAUGCAUGAACAUACAUACAUACAUACAUACAUACAUACAUACAUACAUACAUAUAUAUAUAUAUAUAUAUAUAUAUAUANNNNNNNNNNNNNNNNNNNNAUAGAGAAAAGAGAAUGCCUGCAAAUGGGAAUGGGACACAGUAAGGAUAGAUAUAUAUCUAUAUAUAUCUAUAUAUAUAUCUAUAUAUAUAUCUAUAUCUAUAUAUGUGUGUGUGUGUAUAUAUAUAUAUAGAUAUAGAUAUAUACACAUACAUAUACAUGUAUAUAUACAUACAUAUAUACACACACAUAUACAUGUAUAUAUAUAUAUACAUAUAUAUAUACAUAUACAUACAUACAUGCAUACAUAUGUACUAUAUGUGUGUGUGUGUGUAUAGUACAUAUGUACUAUGUAUAUGUACAUGUGUACAUAUGUACAUAUGUACACAUGUACAUAUGUACUAUGUAUAUAUACAUACAUAUGUGUGUGUGUGUGUGUGUGUGUGUGUAAGAGCAAAAAGAACCUCAUAAACUGCAUGUACGAAGUAUUACUUCAUUGAUGUGCCUAAUGCAAACUGUAUCUUCAGAAAAAAGGAGAGGACGGGGAAGAUCCGACCUUAAUUAUGGCUGGUGUUGGUAAAUCUAUGGGGUCCAUGGCAUCACCCAUAUAAGAGCACAUAAGAGAGAAGGCAGCUCGAUCAUAGAAGGUAUCCUUUCUUGUAAUCAAAAAGGAUGAUGUCAGAAAGUCCUGUGUUGAAGCUACUAAUAUUUCCCCAUUCUUUGGUGUGCACAAGUUAUUUUGCACCUGUGAAACAAAAAAUAGAAAAAGGAAAUAAAUGCCUUGGUAACACAAUGAAAAACAGGUCAAACAUUGAGAAAUUUACGGUAAAACAUAAAACAGAAGACAGGGACCAAAGAUGUGACUCGGGAAAAUUAGUGCAAGACAAGUCAGAUAAAACCAGAAAAGGAUUGGUUACAAUCAGCCCAAACAUGAAAAAGUGGGGGAGAGGACAGAAAUGUUGAAAAACAUUUGAAAAAAGCAUGGUAAACUGACAGGAAUGCAUUAGAAAAUAGUUUUCCAAGUUAAUCUGGAUUUACCACAUUGGCAAUUGUUCCUCUGCUCCUUUUAUGCUUUGAGAAUAUAAUAAAUUCUUAAUAGGACUACCACUGGUUACAAACAGAAGCCAGUUUCAUAGCUAUUGUCAGGGAAAACAUACAAUAAACUGUCACCUCCCUAAGCUUGUUAAAGUUCCACAAACCAUCUUAUACCAACCUGCAACUUUUCUAUUAGAAUGAAAAUAUAAAGAUAUUAAUUACAUCAUAAACCAAAGGACAUCAACAUGCAGGUUCAAACCUUGCAAACUUACUGCAGCUGAUUGUGUUUCCUUACAAAGUAUUGUGUGUGGAACUUCAUUUUGUUUUCCUUUUGACUCUAUCAUCACCAAAAAGACUUGCUCCCUUUUAACUCUACCUUUCUUGGGUUCUGCACGUGCCAACAGUAACUUCUUUCCCCCUUAAGAAUCUACUCAAUCUAGUUUAAAGGGAUUUAACCAAAAUAUUCAGACAUAAGAUAAAUGAUUCUUAGAGAGCUAGGCAGUUCAAGAUCCCAAAAUAGAUGGGAGAAAACUAGGUAUUUACACAUACACAAACUCUUAUUCAUGUGUAUGAUGCAAAAAAAGCAAAAAACAUUCCCCUCUCAGACAAUCCAAAGACCAAGGACUUGCUCUUUAUUUCAACCAUGCAAUAUCUAAGAUAAAAUUCAUAACUAAUCAUCAUUACAAUCCAUAGAAGUCAGCAUCCACUCACAUAUGCAAAUAAUAGUUAUGCUACUUAUGACCCCCUGGAGCUCAGAAUGAUAAAGUUCUCAUCUAGAACAACAUCAAAAUUCCCAUGAAAUUCAUGCACCCAAUCUUUUUAUUUAUGUGGACCCAUACGCAACCUGUCAGCCCAAUUAGAGAUUCACUUUUCAACUAUGUAUCUUUAGAAAUGAAGUAUAUGGACUUACAAGAACUUAUGGAACAUCAGGACUUACACUUUAAAAAAAAAAAGCAUGGAUACAUAUUUAUCACCUUACAUGUGUGGAUAAGUUCCUUGAGAUCCUUAUUGAGCAUUAGUCUCUGUUAUUUGAGAGUCAAUUAAAUAGAAACAUAACACUACUUCUACCUUUUCCCUUUACGUAAAAAAAAGAUAAUCUUUCUUAUUAAAGAUUUAUUUCCCAAGUUCACAUUUAAAUCGUUUUAAGCAUUUCUGAAAUGCUCAACAUCUCCACAUUUCUUUUAUGUGAACAUCUUCAUUUAUAACUUCCAAGAUAUCUUUAAGUAAUCAUGAAUUUCAAUCAAGAACUUUGCCAGAUUAAGAGCCACAUAGGUGAGGCAUUGGGUUGGUUCAGGUUGGAUUUGGGUUUUAAUCAAAACAAACUUGCAACCUCGGCACAACCCAUUUAUCAUAAAUUUGGAGGAAACAACUAAUAAAUACAUAUCCAGUCAAUUUAUUUCAAAUGGAUAUGUAUCAACUUGUGAGCCCAGUCAAAGCUUCACUUGUCAAUUACCUGCAGAAAUGAAAAGAAAGUAGGACCAAGACAAAGGGAUCUAAGGCUGCUUCCAAGCACGAGAAAGGUGAGGAAAGGAAACUGACAUGGAGAACAAAAUGAAAUCAGAAUCACGUAGUUUAACCCUCCACUUUCCCUUCAAUACUUUUUACCCCGCUGCAAAGCAUUAACUGCAUGGGCUCAUCACCACAGAGCCUCUGCCUGUGGCUGAUAACGCUACCAUGUAUUACAAUUGUUGGACCUAGCCUGGACUUUAAGGGCCCAUUGAACCGAGGGAGAUCUGAUAGUCUAAAAACCAAAGCCUAAGCUGACCUAAUCAUAAGCAUGUUGGUUUUGCAUAUCCCCACAACUAGCAUAAUUAUGAAUAACUAUCAAACAAACCACCUUAUUUUGGACAGGUUGCCAGGUCCAGUUCACCAACUGCCAACCCUAACCCAUCAUAUUUGUGAGAUUGGCUUAAAUUCAUAAUACAAGGAUGGUUUUGAAGUUGAAAACCCUAAAAAGACCCACAAAGAGAAGAAGAGAAAAGAAAAGAAAAGACUAAUGAGAUAGUAUUAUAAAAUUGUUUUCUACAUGUAGUGUCUAAAAUAAUAUACCAUGUGUCUGCUGACAAUUUCUUUUUAAGUAUAAUCUAUUGUAUAUGACUGUGAAAAUGAGCUUAUGUGCCUCUUACAUAGAAAGGAAAACAGAUUCUCCAUAUAGAUCCCAGCUAUUAAAAGAACAAAUCACAAUGUUCACCAUGUCAUUCCCCAUAUUAACAUUUUUCUACUGGAACUCAAAGGAACUUUGCUGACUUGAGACUUAUGGCAUUCACUAGACUCCUUUCAAAUUUAGACUGUGACAAUGGCUACGAAGGGAACAAAAGUACCUUGCAACCUCAAGCUGGAAAACUAAUUUAAUACAGCUACCAAGUAUUACGAAAUGACUUUUAAAAAAUACCCCCAUAAGCAUAAGAGCUUCGGUACGAGCUUCUUCUGUUUGAGGAACAUGCAAAUUCAUCUCAUCACCAUCAAAAUCAGCAUUAUAAGGAUUGCAGACGGAUUCAUUGAACCUCAGUGUUCUCCAGGGCAUUAUCCUUGCCUACAGCCAUGAUGAUAACAAAAAAAAGGUGUAAAUAUAAAGUCAAAAACUUCAACAAAUGAAUGUCAAGAUAAACAUAUAAGCAUACCCUAUGACACAUUAUGGACAUCCGAUGAAGGCUCGGUUGUCUGUUAAAAAGGACAAUAUCUCCAUCUUCCAAAUGCCUUUCCACAACAUAACCAUAUUUCAGCUCAUUAGCAAUAUCCCUCUUAUCCACAUAUCUCAAAUGCCUGCAAGAGAACAACUAUAACUAAAUAAUAAUUCAAAAGCAUAAAUACACUUCAAGUUACGAAGCUAAUACAAUUAACAGCUUACACUUUUGAGCCAUCAGGUCGUAAAACAAAAUUUGCCCCAGGAUAUUUGGAAGGCCCAUUGCGGACAAGCUGUCGCAACUUCUCUAUGUUAUAGUUAGAAACCCUUUCUGGGUAUGUUAAAACCCGGGCCAUCAAUAUGGGAAUUGCUACCUGGAGCACACAGAUGACAACACUUAGUGAGGGGAAAAAAUGAAUGCCGGAAGAUCUAAUGUCCAGUCCACAAUCUCUAAACAGGUUUACCUCUGUGAUUUUCAAAUUUGGAUCAGGAGAAAUGACAGUCCUUCCAGUAAACUCAACACGCUUUCCAGAUAAGUUACCACGGAAACGCCCCUGCUUUCCUUUAAGCCGUUGAACAAGCCCACGAUGUUUUGAAUCAGGAAUACAAGGAGCUUCGCUAUUUAUAUACUCGACAACUUGAAUUUGAAGGUGCGUCCAGCAAUCCUGAUAAGGAAUCAACAGCAAUUUUUUAACACUCAAAGAUAACAAUCGAAAAUCCAUCUAGGCUUGCAUAAUUUAAUCAAGACAUAAGGUCAGAUAAGCAAGACAGAAGUCAAGAACUAUUUUCUAAGAACAAAUCAAGUCAGAAUAGGAAACUGAAUAUGAUAUCCGCAACUAGAUUGAAAAACCCCAUAUUAUAUAACAUAUACCCAAAAAGAUGCAGCAUAACUUAUUAAAUAUGGUAUAGUUACAAUACUGAGAGGUAUUUCUUGAAGUUGUCUAAAUAGCAUCUACAGCCAUGGCGUGAGCAUGUGAUAAAAACCAAGACUCACUCCCAUGCAUUUGUUUUCAUUUAUACAAUUCUUCUUCUGCCGCACAUUCAUAUAAACUCCCAGCAUAUUCAGUAGCAUAAAACGAGGGAUUAGUAUGUCACCAGUAAACAAUGGUCUCCUCAAAGAGAGAAGACUCAAAAAACAAUGCUUCUGUCAUAUUCCAUACUCAAAAGAAUGGCCAACUCUCAUUCAUCAAAGAAUUUUACAUAGAGAUAAUCCAUCAAAUUUUAAUUAUUUUGUCUAGAGUCUUUUCAAAGCAUUGUUUAGUUAUCAAUAUAUAUUCUGGUGCUACAGGCUAGACUAGAGAUCUAAUUGACAAGGAAUGUUCUAAUUUUUGUAAAUGACUUCAAAAUUUUGUACAGUAUACUUAAGGGUAAUACAAAUUUUUAAUAAUUGGUGGGUAAAGAUUUUAGUUUCUUAAUCACCAUGUGGCUUUCUAGGUAUGUUCCAAGUAAAAAGAUUUUCAAAGGAUGUGCAACAAGAAACCAUUUGCUCUGUACUUAAUUAAGUGAAAUAUCAAGUAAAAGAGUGGCAUUUUCACAUUGAAUGCUGAUGAUUUGAUGCUCAAGUUAAACAUGUGUCCCAUGACCGUACAGUGAGAGGCUCUCUAAAUGCUCUUGGUUGAAUUGGGUUGUGUCACUGAAAUUUUAAGCACAAAGCAAAACAAAGUUGGUGUCUAUCUGAUCGUUCUUUGAGAUCUCUACAGUUUCAAAGUACCACUAGAUCUGUUAUCUAGAAUUAGAGUUGAUCAAACACUGUGCCAGGCUGGGCUCAGACCAGGCUCUAUAGUAGAAGAUAGGCCCGAUGCCUAUGCCAGGCCUAGACUAAUCUUAAAGAGCCGAUCCUAGGCCUGCCCACUUGGCCUGAUUUCCUCUUCUCCCAACUAUUAUAGGCUAAGUGCAAUAUAAUAUAUUAUCAUUUUAUUAUAAUAUAUAAUUAGUUCUUAUAAUUAAUAAAUUAUAUAUAUAUAUAUAUAUAUAUAUAUAUAUAUAUAUAUAUAUAUAUAUAUAUAUAUAUAUAUAUAUAUAUAUAUAUAUAUAUAUANNNNNNNNNNNNNNNNNNNNNNNNNNNNNNNNNNNNNNNNNNNNNNNNNNNNNNNNNNNNNNNNNNNNNNNNNNNNNNNNNNNNNNNNNNNNNNNNNNNNNNNNNNNNNNNNNNNNNNNNNNNNNNNNNNNNNNNNNNNNNNNNNNNNNNNNNNNNNNCUCAGGCUAGGCUAAACUUGCCUAUUUUUUAAUUUUCCUAGGCACGGCCCGAUUCUUAGAUUGGACCUACUUUUUCAAGACCAUCCUACAGGCCUAUUUUUAGUGCCCAAACCCACUAAAUUUCGGGCAAGCCUGGGCAGGCUAGUGGGCCACCUAGCCCAUGAUCGACUCUAUCUAGAACCCAAAAAUGCUGCCUAGGAUGGUAAUUUUCACUUGGUUGCUUUAUCAAGAAACACAUUUUCAAAACACUGAAAAAGAAAGAAGAAAUCUCCUUAUCCACUAGACGAGUCCAUUUUUGGAAACUAGUGAGAAUAUUAAUCACCUCUUUCAUGGUGAAGGUAAUGUUAAACAUUAGGAGAGCUAGUAAAGAUGACAAAUAUAAUAAAUAAACAUAUGGAGAGAUAGAUAGAGAGAGAGAGAGAGAGAGAAGGAGAGAUGAGAGAGAAUUUUAAGUCAAUUUAAAGCAACUGAGAAGUUGUGCAUCUUCUCAUGUUUAUAUCACAAAUCAACCUUGAUGACACAUCUAUAAACUCAUAUGUUUUGAGAAAAUAAAAAGAGAAAUAGAUAAACAAUUAAAAAAGAUUAUUAAUUGCCACACUAAAAACAAGUCAAGCAGAAUCAGUAACUAGCAGCUACAUAUUACUCAUGAAACUGAAUGGCACAAGCAUAGAUACAGACCUUGGAUGAGCAAAGAUAUAGAUACUGGAUGAUGUUAUAGAAAAGAGAAGAAAAAGGAUUGCAUUUAAGUUGUGUCAUGUGUUCCAUCCAAUAUCAUGGUUUGGGAUGGUUAUGUUAUUCCUACUUAAAAGUUUUUUGAAUCAAAUAAUUUAAUAGUAAAAGAAACAUACAGGCCAGCAUAAACAUAAGGAAAAUGUAACAAUAAAUAUUUCCAAUAGGUAACAAAUAAACAUUAUGCCCCAAAUACUGUAGUUGGUGUAUUUGUGUUCAGUGUCCAGUGUGAUUGAGGAGAGUAUGAAACAGUAAAAAGUUGAUUCAAAAAUCAAGUAGGUGGAAAAAUGCAACCACCUUAAAUCACAUGUUUUUCUUGUAUGAACCUAUUUACAUCAGGUGCAUGGAUGGAUGCAAUCAAAGGAAUGGAAUUUCAAAAUUGAGGGACUCAUGGACCAAUGUAGAUUAUAAAUAGUCAGAUCCAAACUAAUUUAACCAAUACAAUGAACCCGGAUUGUGCUCACACAAAUAACAUGCCUUUGGCCUUCUGUGUAACUUCCACUCAAUAUGGAUUUCCUACAUGAUCAAUGGAUCACAAAAGGCUAUCUGGUUAUCAUCUACCUGUGUUCCAUUAAAGUCUAGAACUGAUGUCAAACUCAAUUAUGGUGGAGGGGAAUGCCGGUUAAUUAACACGAAGUGAGAUGAAAUAGUUACUAAAGAUGCUCUUAAUUUGCAAUUGGAAGGGGGUGAUGAUGUCAAAUUGUUAAUAUUGUAUAACAGUAGCUGGUUGAUGGUUGCAAUCCCCCAUGAAAAGAGAGAAGGCUAGGUUAGAAAAUCAUGAUUCUUCCUCGAAUAGGAGAUGCCAUCUCAAGAGAAAGGUGCUAACCAUUCUUCCAAUAGGAAGACAAGAACUAGAACUUUGGCUUAAGGUUGUUCUCUCGGUGCAAUAGUCCAAUUUGUUAUGUUUCCUUGGACUCCCCAACAUAGCUGCUUUCAAGUUUAACACUUGUGUUGGUCUUCACUUAUCAUCCAAGUAAAUAAAGAUCAUACUAAAAUUCUCCAGGAACAGCAUGCAGAGGUAAGGCUAUGUAUCUCUAGCCCUCUCUAGACCCCAAAGUGAUGCGAGCCUCGUGCAUGUGGGCAACUCUUUUUUAACUUAAAAAAUUGUCCAUAUUAGCAAAGAAACCAGGCGCACAAGACAAAUCUUAAGAAAUAAGGCUUCUUGAAGUUAGUUUGCAAGAUGUGCUCAAUGUUAAAAAGCAAAGGAUUGAAAUUUGGUUAACAAUCAAAACAAAGCAUGUUGAACCAAUGUUUAUGGUAUCAAUACCAUGACCGUGCUAGUCAAGUAGUGUGUCAAUAUGUAUGAUACCAUGCCGUACUAAUACACGGUACACAAGAUCAUUAUGAUCAGUUACCCGUAAUCCAAAAGAUAAUUUUUCUAUUUUUUAGGUUUUCCAAGACGAUUGAACUAAGGGGCCAUUGCUUGGUGCAAUGAUAAAAGGCUUGCACUGAUAAGUGCAACGGCACAGGUUUGAAUCAUAAGGUGCCAAAAAAAAAACAAAAUUUAGGUCUAUCCCGGUUUGCCCCUCCUAAGACCUCAAAUUGCUGGGAACAUAACCAGGUAAUGGCCUUUUUCUAAGAUGAUGAAACUCAAAUCUAGGGAUUUUAGACUUUUAUUUGUCAUAUGUUUCAAUUUUUUCUAAAUUUAGUAGCCUUAGGAUAUAUUUUUCUAAUUAAAAAAUUAACAUAUUUGAUGUAUAUAUAUUUAAAAAUUAUAUCUAUAAAUUAGAUUAUAAUUUGGGUUAAUGCAGCUACAUACAAGGGAUGCUACAUAUAUUUAUUUUUUAAGCCCAUGAGAUCUUCUUGCCUACUUAUUUUUCACAUUCACUUAAUUUUGGUCUGCAGUUUGGUAGCCUUAAACAUGCUCCAAAAUAAGGUAAAUGCUGCGAAAAAAAAAAAGAUAGCUAAUGCACACAUCCAACUAGAUCAUGUGACAACUUGCUAUUAAUUUUCGUUGGUAAAUAAUAUAAAUUAUUUUUAAAUUUUUAUCCAAAAAUAUAUUUUAGAAAAAGAUAAAUAUUAGCAGUGAAAAAAUUGGCAUCAACUUGUAGAUCACCAUAGGUCUACAAUAUAUCAUGAAAUUAUGCCAAAUACAAAACUUUGGCAGAUUUCCCUUAUUUUUUCCAUUAUUCAGUCACUUUUGGCAUAAAAAUUGAAAAAAGAGAAGAGGAGAAAUUCUCACUGUUUAGGCUUGAAUCCAGCUACAAUGGUGGGGGAAUCUCCUCCCGAACUCACCCUCUCCCUCCAUUCUCCUCUGUUCCACCAAACCAAAGCAAGAGACAACAAAGAAAAGGGUCAAAAGACCUAUUUUCUCCAGCUCGCUCAGCUGGUGGAGAAUUGGUAGAUGCCAAUUUGUGCUGCCCAGAUGGGUCAAUUCCAAUCAGGGAAUGGAGAGGUUCAGCCCUUGCCCAAAAUCAAAAGCUUGAACCAUCUAGUUUCUUGGCUGGGUCAGUAUGUCAUGCUCUAGGCCACCCAAUUUGGGACAGCUCACAGAUUGAGUCAAACUACAAAAACUGUCAGAGUUACACAUAUCUCGAUUUUCCAUCAAUUUGGUAUGUCAUGCUCCGUGCCACCCAAUUUGAGACAGCUCACAGAUCUUGAGUCAAACUAGACAAACUAUCAGAGUUGCACAUAUCUAGAUUUUCCAUCACUUUGUUUGGGACAAAAUGAUGGACAAUCAAAUGAAAUAGUAUAGGCAUGUACAAGAAAACUUGAGCAGGCUCCAAUAAGGAAGGUUAAUUUAUUCUUUAUUUCAGAUUAGGAGAGAAGGAAAGGCCUACAGUAACAUGGAUGAAUUUGUGAAGAAUGGCGUAGAAAAGUUUGAGAUGAUAUUGGAGGUCACAUUAAAUAGGAAUACUUGGUGAAUAAGGAUUCAAAGAGCCAGCCCAUGUAUACAGGACAAGGCUUGAUAAUCAGAAUUAUAGUUGUGCUCAAGAUCCACAUGUCAAUCAGCAUAUUACUGUCACCAAUAAAAGCUUUACAAAAUGUAAUAUGGAUAGCACACUCUGUAAAAGAUAAAGGAAAUAUAUGGGAAAAGCAGAUCAAGAACUUCAAACAAAAUUUGUAGCUUAUCACAACAACUCCAAACAUCUUAUCAAGACUUUCAAGAAACUAACAGAUCUGGCUAAAAUGUUUAAACAAAGAACCAAGAAAUGAUGAGACAAAAGAAUUACUAAUAAGUCUCACCAAACACUUGAAUGGAGGGGCAGCGCCUUCAAGAUCCUCUCGAAGUAUAGAAUUCGUGUUUAUUAUAUUUUUUAAUAUGCUAGUAAUAUUAUCCUCAUUGCUGCAUGAUUGAAAAAAAUCAAGUUACUACAACAAGUUAUAACAAUGUCCUGUCAAAAUGCUUCUUCCCUAGAGAAGCAACUAUAGCAUAAGAAAGGAAAUACUGCAAGAACAAACCUUGAUCUUCCGGAAUCCACGAUGACAGAAGGGCGAAUAGAGACAGGUGGUACUGCAAUAUGUGUCACAAUAAGUUUUUCAGGCCUAUCAUAAAGAUUAAGCAAUUCACAAUCCUGUACCACAAAACAACAAAAUUAUGAACUUAUCAAUUUAAAAAAGGGAACAAGUAAAACUCCAUCAUAACACAAACUUUUCCUCUUUUUUUUUUUUCUUUUUUUGCCUUUUGGUGGAGGGGGGUGUGGGGGCAGGGGGGUUCUAGUAUGUAGCCAGUAAACAGUGAGCUUAUACCUCAUCAAGCAUUUUUCUGAAAAGAGAAAGAACUGCAACAGCACUUAAAACAUGUGAAACUUGGAAUGAUGUUUUAUCUUUUGUGUGAGAUAAUGCAGAACGGAACUCUUCUACACUUGGAUCAGCAGUUUUGCUAAAAUCUUGAAUAAAAUACAGUCCAGAUCUUGCCUUUUUCACCACACCUGCACUUAAGAAUAUACAAGUGCUAGUCAGAGAGAGAGAGAGAGAGAGAUAGAAUAAAAAAUGGCUGAAACAGGAGUUGACUUUUCAAAACAAAAUCAUGUGUGUUAUUACUGUGAUAUUCUUGAACAUAUUGUUUGCUGGUUCAUGUUGUUUGCCUCUUGUUCUUAAUUGGUUUCCUUGAAAUGAAUUUUUAAUUAAUUUUAACCUAAGAACCAAACAUAACCAGUCUUGGUUGCGUAGGUUCAUUUUGUUUCAAGAUUAUCUGGUUCCUAUCAGGUUUUAGAAAGCGAGAACUGACCAGGAUCUAUCGGUACUAGUUGACACUAACUCAAACCCACCCACAUUAUGAUGGAAUAGUCAUAUUGCCUUCUACCCAAUUACGGUAACACUAUAAAGCCCCACCCGAGAAUAAAAGAGUAAAGCAAUGACGAAAGAGAGUGAUACCCUCAAGAUAGAAUGUUCCACGAUGACUCAAAGCCCCAAAACAAAAACUAUUUUAACAAGAAGGGUUAUUUCCCAACUCUGCAAAUUCACAUCAAACAGCACAAACAAAAAAGGUAUAAGCAGUAGUCCAUGGGUGAGAAGAAAAAUUCACUAAUUGGAUGCUGACAAGGCAUUCAACAUUUACAAUAUUCAGGCUACCUGGUUUCUUUAAUGCCAAACAGCAUGUAAUAGAGACAUUUCAUAGCAAGAAUUUAUGUAAAGCAUGUAAUCCAUGGAAACAUGAGUUCUUGAAAAUUUGUCUUCAAAGUUUUACCCUGCCAUAACUUUUAUCCACAACCUAGUCAGAAAAAGUCAAACAACCUGAUUGACAGGAAGAAAGAGACCAGUGAAUAGCAAAGCCUAGAUAAACCAGUCUAAAAUGAGAAACAACAUUGCAUGAGGAAAAAAGCAAUAUUAAUGUUGAAAUAAUUUUAAAUGCUUUCGUCUCCAUGAUUCAAGUUCACAAUAUUAAAAUGAAAGAUUCAUUUGAAAGUCAAACAUGAUGCAUGGACCUACAAAAUAAUAAGUGGCAAACAACAAAGAAAAUAGCACCACAUCGUAGUAUUAAAAGCACUAUAAAGAACUAAUAGCAUAACACUAACCAUUUGCAUAUCCACACCGGAGGCAACGAGAAGGUUUGCAUUUGUCUCUAACCAUCUUCAUGAGAGCAUUCUUCUGAAAGAUAUCAGCUUUAGGAUUUCUCAUUUUCUUCAAAUAUGAUUUGCGAAGUGUCUCAUCAAGAAGUAUCCUACCACAGCCCUAUAAAGCAUAUCGUAGCACACUAACAUUAGAAUCAGCAUCAUUACAUAAUAAAAGUAGAAGUUUCUGAUAAAACAUCUAAAUAGAAGUAGUGACUCAAGCUCUAAAUUACAAGAAAAUUAUGAAACAUGUCUUAGAGGAAGAGACAUACCUUACAAAUACACUUCAAGAUGUUUAGUAUAGAAUUAAAAUAGCCAACAUUAAAAACAGGGAGUGUGAGCUUCAAGUAUCCAAAGUGUCCAGGACAAUCAGUGAAAUUUCCAUGGCAUGUAGCGCACUCAGUUUGUCUGUUGGGAGCCCCCUGCAAUUUUAGAUAAAGAGAAUAUGACACCAGAGUAAAUUUACAUUUUAGUGGAAUGAAACAUGACUAUGAGAAAGAUAGUGUUAUUAUGUAUCCUUCAAAGAGCACUAGUAUUUCAAUUUUCUUUUUUAAGAAAAAUUUCCUAAGUGUUUGUGACUCUAGCAAAAAUCUAAAUACUAUGGAUGUACACAAUAUUCAUCAAUUAUCAUGCUUCCAUGUCAGCUUCGGGAAGCACAUCUCCAAUUGUACCCCCACUUUUUUUCAUUUAGUAUAAUUUUUCAUUACCAUUGACAUAAAAACUACUAUACAGAAACUAUGGAUACCCCUGUUAAGAAAUAUCAUGUGUUUGCUGACAUAAUUAACAUUUCUUUUAAGGGUAAUGGGGAGACCAAGAGACUUCAGCAAGCUUCCCACUAAACAGCAGUUAUGUAGUUUCAUUGUGAACUGCAUUCAGCAGGUCAGCUUUCAGCUUUCUGAGACACCAGUAUCAUUCAUUGAAGGCCUUCAAGGCAACCACCCUGGAUCAUAAGGCGCUGGUCAUCAGUUUACAGUUGUGAAAAUUCCAGUGACAAGACAUGAGUAACAGGCACUAACUGAGCAGACUUCAGGUGGCCAUCAAACUCCUGCAUACUCUUGCCCCAAGUUCACCAGCCUAUGAACAUCAUCAUCCCUAUAAAGCAUGAAGAUGCUUGUAUAGUGGAGUUGCUUAAUUACCUUCCGAAGAGUCCUUGCUAGAUGCAACAGACACAAAAAUUCAGCUGAGUUCGAGGUGUGUCAAAAACUUGGAAUAAGUCUUCCAUAUAAAUGGUUAAAAUUCAUGAUGAUGCCAUAACAAAAUUAUUGAGACUUCCUUGUAUCACCCUAAUUCUCUGGCAUCGAUUUCCCAUUGCCGAUCGAUGUAGCAUGCAAUCAGAAUAUACAAAUCAUGUAUCUAUAUUUAAUCUUCUUUUAACAGAAAAAGAGCGUGAUGGUACAAGAUAUACUAAUCCAAUCAAGAAGAUGAAACUAAGAAGAAGAAAAUCAGGAAAGGAUAAAAGGCAAAUGGACCAGGAAGUACCAUUCGAGGAUCAAGCAAACCAUUCUCGAUCGGUUUCAGAUUGAGGUCGUAGAUUCUAUUGUUCCAGACUUGCACCUCUGCCAGUUUCCGUAUUUCCUCACCAGAAAACGUGCUAAAUCGAAUGCUUUUUCUGCGGAAAUAAUAAGAGAGAGGGUCAAUGUAAAAAAGAAUGAUUGCACUUCCAAAGAACAAACUUGAGUUCAGGAAGCAAGACUGGAAAGCAAUCUAAUAUUUUAAAUCAGUGUUCCAAAAACUCGUUCAUCUCACAUCUUUCGAGGGCCGACGUCCUCGAUAUACGGUUCCUUCGUGCAUCUUAGCUUCUCCUGCAUAAUUCCGAGCAAGAAAGGCCAAGAAAAACCUCAAGAGAGAAGCGAAAUCGAACUCAAUAAAGCAGAAUGUCGACGAACGUGGAGAUAAGAGGGCGAUCAGAGAGGACGGUUCCUAAUCCGAAGGGAAGAACGCUAGGUUUGUUAGGGUUUUGCAAGGGUAUUCGAGUUCUUGAAGGUCGGUGCCCGUAGGGCGAGGCACGACUAGCGACGCGGUAGCCGUGCGUGCUCAGAACACCCGCCUCCGCCUCCCUUCGUUCGGCAGGAACGGCGAACCUGGCGGGUUUAAAUCUUGGGGUUGUCUCAUAAGAGGAGGUGCUUGCACCGCCCGCAUAGGCAACUACUAGACCCGGUCGGCCCAUCUUCACUCACUCACUCAGCGAAAAAGGCCGUGCACGAGAGGACCCCCAACGUUAAUUUAAGGGGCUUUGCUGCAUACUCUAAAACCUCUUUUAGUCUUUUUUCUUUUUUUUUUUUUUUUUUUUUUUUUUUUUUUUUUUUUUUUUUUUUNNNNNNNNNNNNNNNNNNNNNNNNNNNNNNNNNNNNNNNNNNNNNNNNNNNNNNNNNNNNNNNNNNNNNNNNNNNNNNNNNNNNNNNNNNNNNNNNNNNNNNNNNNNNNNNNNNNNNNNNNNNNNNNNNNNNNNNNNNNNNNNNNNNNNNNNNNNNNNNNNNNNNNNNNNNNNNNNNNNNNNNNNNNNNNNNNNNNNNNNNNNNNNNNNNNUUUUUUUUUUUUUUUNUUUUUUUUUUUUUUUUUUUNUUUUUUUUUUUCCUGACCAUCCGAUUCAAAAUAGAUGAUACUGAUUUAUCCAUCCACAAUCAAUUUUAGCAGAUGAUUUGAAAAUGAGAAGUCAACUUGAUGCUGCAAAUAAUUAAAAAUUUAAAAAUAUUUGAAAAAUUAUAUAUUUUAAAUUUUUAUUCUCUUUUCUUCUUUUUUCUUCCUCAUUUUUCUUCUCCUUUCUUUCCAACCACUGCCCUCCUCUUCUCUCACUGGCUUGACUACUACCAAUCAAGCCUUACCUCUCCCCUGCCAUCUCAACCACCUCCUUCUCGAUCUUUGGCCAAUGAGCAAGCCCCGUCCACUCUACUUUUUCAUUUUCUCCUUUGACUAUUGCAGCCGCUUCUCCCCUGCCACCUCCUUCUCGACCUCCAGUUAGUAAUCAAGCUCCACCCCACACUCCAUUUCACCUUCACCUCCGGUACUAUAGCCACCUUGAUCAUCUCCUUCUCAAUCUCCGACCAAUGAAAUCCAACCCCGCUAGACCCUUUUUUUUUUUCUUCGCCUCUAAUUGUUGUGGCUGCCUCUCCCCUCCAUCUUGACCGCCUCUGAUCAAGCUCUGCUCCUCCCUUGCCAUCUUGACUGCACUACUGCAGUUGCCUCUCCCUGCUGCCUUGAUUGCCUCUUUCUCGAGAUCCGACCAUCCAUUCAUCCGGUUCUAAUUUUGACGGCCUAAAGCCCGAUGAGCAACUUAAG